AUAGCUUCACCAGCGGCCCCCUUUCCCAAGGCAGUUCCCUGCUCUCCCCUGCGAGAGGGGCACCCUAAUCCAUUCACCCCAUCCGACUUCAGAAUGUAUUCGUUGGUUUCAGCAACUCACCACCAGCAUCCAACCAAAUCUAGCGGUUAAACGGCGCCUCAACUUAGUUCCUGGUCAGGUCGCAAAUUGUUAUAAUCACGUCCAACACCGUCCACAAUAUGGGGGUCCAUUUCCCAAUUCAUCACCCCUCACACACCAAGGAGUCGGCAAGCGGAUCUGAACACGGACACUCCGAAGUUAGGCCUUAACCUCUGCCGGCCACCUGCCGUAUACAUGUAUGUCUUCUGCACGCCCGCGCGGACACCUGGCCCAGACGAGGUGCCGCCACCCUGGCAAACGAGGACUUCUGGUGUCGGAGGGCCCUCCAUUUGCCGACUCCAUUGUCGACACUUGAAGUACUUUACGCGCACAUGGUCCUCGUGUUGCUGCAGGUAUGACGUGUGCUAGUGUGUCGGGAGGAGCUAUAUCUUGGCAAGCAACGUCCCCACCCCCGGGGGAAGGGGGCUCCGGGGAGUGGGGUUCCGGCCGUGGGGGAAGGGCUUUGCGGUGUGUUGCACCGGCGUGUAUGUGUCGCUAUCGCACAUGCAAGACCGAAGCAAAUAUUUCUCCCUAUAGUAAGCGCAUUAAUAUCAUUACUAUUUGAACUACUGUGUUCUUUGUGGCUUGAAGGAAUGCUAUACCGUUGACAUGACAAACUCGACUUUGUUCGGGUCGAGUUUCUUCACGUUCGCCAACCCUACCAAAUUGCUGGUGUUUAAGAGAAAAAGACGGUUGUGCUGGAAUUGCGAGCAGCGCGCUGGCAAGAAAUCGGUUAGCAUCGCUCCAGGGCGGCACCUCGUCUGGGCCAGGUGUCGCGGACGGUAUGCAUGUCUUAUUGUCUGUAUGUACGUAAAACUACGGAAGGCAGAAGGCGAAAAAGCAAGAGCAGGGGGUGUAAGGUGGUGAUAAAUACAAACACACAUACAGACAUACUGACAUCGGACAUUUCUAAGUCAGACAUCGGAGGAUAAAGUUAUGUUUUGACCUAACUGCCCCUAUGAUGCCUUUUUUAAAGGCAUCGUACGGGAUCAAGCGGGGACGCGGACCCACAUUGGUGGUGUUACGAAGAGUGAGACAGCAGUAAGAAUACGGGAGAGCUGCAAGGUUAUAUAUGCUUUAUAUACUAUACGCACUGUACGGCUAUAGGUGCGUGUCAAGCAAGGCUGCCCGUAAUGCAUCAAAAUUUCUUUGUCGGUCAGUGCGGCUGGAGCGGUGUGUGUAGGUGCAGCAGCAGCAGCAGCAGCAACAGCCGGCUACCGUCAACACCCUGUCAACAACAACAGCAACAAACAGUGACAAUGGGAGAGAUGUUACAUGACGGAGCCGGAAUCCAAGAACUGAGAUCUCAUAGAUGUAUUUGAAAGGAGGCCUUCCCCGUCGGGUUGCACGGCGUCAUCACAUGGCGCACUAACUGCUAUUGUAUCCUGUGUCCACCACCACGCACCCUUACAUUGCACGAGCACGAGCACGAGCCCCCCAAAUAAUUGUAUUGUAUUGUGGUUACAGUAUUUCCGCCGCCGACGCGGCGGGUGCCCUCACGAGCCGUGAGGCUCCAGAGCACGCUGUUGACGCUCAUCAAAAACCUCAGUAAGGAAAGUAGCGAUUUUCCUCGGAUUGGUAUUAAGAAAUACCUUGCGCAUAUCAGUAUCUUCAACGUUAAUCAGAAACCUAUUACGCAACUCAGUAUACGCCUCACACUCCAUGAGCACAUGGUAUUCAUCCUCAACCUUACCCGACGUACAGACCUGACACGUACGGCACUCUCUCGGCCUAUGGUGUCCUUUGUUGACCUCCAAAGGCCAACAACAAAGACGGAAUUUGGCAACCAUACGCAACUGGUUGGCCGGCAAAUAAACACGCAAAUAGCCUGUGGGAUCGGAGCCCUCUCUUGCUGGUGAAGGGGAGCCCAUCCAGUUAUGAUACCUGCAAAGCGAAACCCCUUUACCUUGGAACACACGCGGAUCACCCCCUUGGCUGAACUGAUCCCAGUCACUUAAAAGGAACGCAGAUAACCUCUCCAGAACCUCACCCACUCGAAUCAACUGAGACGAGUAUACAUCUACCUUCUGAGAAACGGAGUCACACGCCGGCCACUCAUGGCCCAACCAACGCAAAAUGAUGAGCACUUUAGACGACCAGCAAUCCACUUUGAGAUCAGACAGAAGAGCCAGACGGAGAUCAUCUACUAACACGUCAUGAUAGACCGACCCACGGGACUUGACUAUCUUAUUCCAGAAACACAACGCAAGGCGUAACCAAAAGUACUGCAAAGGCAACUGAGACAGCUCCCUGUACAACAGCUUGUAAGGUACCUGCUUGAGCCCAGCACAACGUAAACAGAAGUCACGCUGGACCUGGACCAUACCAUCUUCCAAAGCCAAAUCAAAAUAUGACUUACCAGCGGGUAAAACACCUUUACCUAGCCGCAGGACGGAGACAAUCCUAUCAGGACCCCAGACCUCAGCACCAUAACAGAGAACCGAACGGACCUGGGUGUCGAACGCUUGAAGCCGAACGGCAGGAGCCCACACCCUGUUCUCAUCCAACCGAUUACUAAGACCGAACAUAGCCCGUCGCCCUGCUUCCAAAAGUUCGUUGACACAACUCGCAAACGGGGACGCAAAUUAACGUACAAGGGGGGAUCAUUAUCGCGCCAUGCAGCAGUACAGCAGUUAACAUACUCCGCAUUCGUUGCUACAGACAGACAGACAGACAGAAAGUGUGAUCAGCGUUACGGACGGAUACGGGCACCAUGCCCGUAUAAUUCCUCUAGUAUACAUGGUAUCUCAAAGUUGUGAAGGCGAUGGUGGGUAACAAAUUCGGCAAGCCAAGAACCAAACGAAUCGAGUGCCGCCAAUCGUUUGGUACCUUCAGUUCAUUACUUCACGUUUUUUGCAUUCGAAACACGUAUUCCGCCUAUUGCGCGCGUACACUUGGCAGCAAGCGAAGCCCGUAUGUGGGGGCAUGUGUGGGCACAAGCCGCACGUGCGCGUGCGUGCGAUUACUUGAUGUGAUACACGUAUCUGCAGCACUCCUCCGCAGCAGGCGAUCACGACAGCACUCCUAAAAAAAGAAUCAAGGGUAAGAUUAGUCAUGUGCGUGUGGCAAUAAACACGGCUAAGCGCUCAUAUGCGAUUUAUGGGAUGCACUCAUGCAGGCGUGGGUCACAGUUCCCAGGGAAAGGGAAAGGGGGAGAGGGCUGCACGCACCUUGCCAGAGGCAUUCGUGCAUACUAAAGCCGCUGCACGGCAUGUUGCACCCCCGCACAGGCAUAGUUGAGGUACUGAGGCACUCCCAUGCGUGCAUGGCCACCGAGAACGACAAUGAUGUGGCCACAGAAGGGGGGAGGUAACCGCGGAUCCGCCUGACAGCAUUCGUUCCGCUGUAUACAGCUAUCCCCACAAACACACACGGCCAUGCGUACGGCACCCAAGUAAAAGGCCGAGUUGCAGACCAUCGGGGAAUACCCACCGAAAAACGCGGUUGAAAUUAAUUAUUAGGUAUGUCCAACAGAUAUACAUCAGGCUUAUCAGUAUCGGGGGGUCCCCGUAAUACUAGUAUAGUAUUGGAAUAAUGCAACCCACUGCCGUACAUCCAUCAAUACACACCUCAUGACAUGGUCCACAACUGUCAGCUCAUAACUGCCUUUGGCCCCACCCCCACCCCCACCCCCACUACGAUUGGCAUGCACCACAUCGGUAUCCCGCAAUAAUGGCAGUCGCCUCCUGUCCUACCGGGUUGCCAGCAGCAGCAGCAGCAGCAGCAGCAGCCUAACCGUACCUCUUCUAGCGGUCCCCCCGCACGGUGUAAGCACGGAACCUGGAUUGACGGCUCGCAGCCACAUAGCUGCUACAUUUUGUCGUCGUAUGGCCGUACGGGGGUUGCUGAUAUAGCCAACGACCAACCGCCUGGCGGCGACCAAACCGUCGAACUCCAGCAUCUCAGAGGUGCAUGUUGACCUCCCCCCCCGGCUGCCCCCAGAUCCGCUGCUCCCGGGAAUUUUCACCACCACACAUUAUACCUAGUUAUAUCAUAUACGUGGGCAGGGGGACAUGCCGUACCCGGUGGUUCCCCCCCCCAUGCCCCGCGGCUCGAAACCCAUCAACUUACCCCCCCCCGCCCCCCCCCUCCUCCAAACGACGCUCAUUACCGAAUGUUCUCAUCGCAGCGCCCCCCCCCCUUGGUGGUGGUGAUGGCGAUGGCGAUGGCGGAGAGGUAGGGGUAGCCCUGCGCCCUCUUUCCGUGUGGCUAUUCUUCUCCCACCAAACCGUCACAACAUAACGAGCACCGCUGCAUCCACACACACCCAGGCUUAAGUACGUGCCAGGCAAACGUCCAAUCCAUCCGCCCCAUCUUCCUUCUGAGUGCGCCUCCAUUUCGCCCACCCUCGUUGGAUAAGUGCCGCGGGCGCUCCAAAACCACAGCGCGCAGCCUUUUUGCUACUCACAUUGCUUUUCCAACCCCCCAAAUUCCCAGUUAGCCCGGCAGUCGCACGGCAGUGCAGGCACACGACAGUCUCAAACACUACACAUAUCGGGCCCUUCCUUGAAGCGACUCGAGGCGGCGGAAACGAUCGAACUACUAGAGGAUAAGGCGCAAGGACGCUUUCGGUUUCUCGCCUUCUGAGCUGCCAGAUCUGCAGAGAUACACGCGGAAGUGAGUGAGUUGGCUGCUGUUGCUGUUGGUGGUGGUGGUGCUGCUGCUGUUGUUGGGGUGUUACACUGUGGGGGGCGGCUCGUCCCGAGAAAGGACGAGAGCACCGGGGGCCGAAACACAGCGCAAGGGGGGGGCGCGCGGCUCUACGUCCGUCUGUUCCUCCGCGCGCGAUUCACUUCCCCACUGCUUUUGUUGCUGUUGUUGGUGCUGCUGUUGCUGCUGUUGUUGCUGCUGCUGCGCGUGCUGCUGCGGCUGCUGCUGCUACUGCUGCUGCUGUUGGUGCUGCUGUUGGUGCUGCUGGGGCGUGUUGAGGCGGCGGCCUGACCAUGCGCCGGAAUUUAUACUCCCAAUCAAACGCCGCCUUAAUGAGCUCCUGUUCCGCCUUCUCCUUGGCCAACAGCUGGGCCCUGGCCGCCUCAAUAUCCUGCUCCAGCUUCGACCGUACAGCCCUCUCAAGAUCCAAUUGCUCCCUCAAUUUCUGCUCUUUUGCCCGCUGGGAUUCGUCCAGGAUUGGCCACUGCUCCUCCUCCUCCUGGUAGCGCUUCUGUAAGGAUUCUUUUUCGUUCUCCUGCCGCGUCCUCGUCCUCUCUAGCUGCUUGAUUCGCCUAUCCUUGGCCCGGAGCAACCGCCGCAUGUUCUCCAAGUCCUCCCGGACUUUUGGUGUCAGAUCCGCCAGCGAACCGCCCUCCUCGUCGCCCAUCUUCCCCGUCCCCUGAUCCUCACGUUUCCCAGUUCUCCUCGGCGCCGCACCGGUACCAGCACCAGCAGCACCGGUACCAGCACCAGCAGCACCGGUACCAGCACCAGCAGCACCGGUACCAGCACCAGCAGCACCGGUACCAGAAGCAGCACCAGUACCAGCAGCAGCACCGGCAGCACCAGAAGCAGGCUUAGGGGGCUGUUGGCUUCUCGAAGGGUCUGCUGAUGUCGGUGCAGGUGCGGCGCUGUUUCCUCUUAGCGGGGCAGCGACACCAGGAACCGUGUUGCGGUCCACCGGUGAGUCCCGAAAGACCGACUUGGCGUUCUUGAUUUCUGCAGCCGGAGCUACCGGUGGGCACUUCGCGGCUGCCCUCACCUCCGGAGCCGUCUCCCGGACCGGCGACUUGUUCUCGUGCUGUUGCUGUUGCUGUUGCUGUUGUUGCUGUUGCUGCUGUUGUUGCUGGUACUGCUGCUGGUACUGCUGCUGGUACUGCUGCUGGUACUGCUGGUACUGCUGGUGCUUUCCGGUAAGAUUCAAAAAGUCCUUGACCCACAUCCACGCACCUAAUUGUGGCUGUGGCUGUGGCUGCGGCUGUGGCUGCGGCUGCUGCGGGGUUGGUCGCUUCAAUUGGGGUUGUUGGUCCUCAGAGGCGGCGUCGGCUCCUUCCCGCGCUCUCUUCCUGGUCGCGUCUGAAGACUGCGCGGACGCCUCGGACCGCGGUGGCGGUGGCGAUAGCGGUGGCGGCGGCGGCUGAGGCUCCGAAGCUACAUGCUGCUGAUCCGCGGCGGCGCGAGUUGCCUUCAUUGUUGGGGUUUCCGUUGCGGUUGCCGUUGCGGUUGCGGUUGCGGUUGCCGUUGCCGUUGCUGUUUGCGAACCUGAAUGCGCCAUGAUGCGAUGUGGGCCAUGGCGUCCAAGGACGGGCCGGUUGUGGGUUCGGAUUUAGGGUUUUGCUUUUUGGGGCACUACUGGCGGAUGCCGCCAACCGGGGGGAGAGCAGUCAAUGGCAGUCAAUGGAUGCAAUCCGUCAUUUUCCCCCCGAUGACGGCGGUGGCGGUGUCGUGGUGGUGAAGGGGGCGGGGGUUGUCGCUUGGGAGCAGUGCUGCAGGGCCAGCUGCUGCUGUUGCUGAUACUUUCAAUCGCUACUAAUAACGGGCCAGGUAAAGACCAAGUAGGUUGUGGGUAGGUAAGAGCGGUGAUGAUGAAACCCUAAGUACAUAUGGCGUGUGAGGUACGGAUGCAAACGUAAGGGAUAUGUACGGCGUCUCUGAAUGCAUGCCCGGUCUGUACGGGCACCCAGUUCCGGUGUAAAGGUACUCACCGUGCUGAAGUGCGUCCAUGUUACCGACUCCGUUAACAAAGGGAGCAUCGGCCAGUUUCUUGCACUGUUGUUGCUCCUGCUGCUGCUGCUGCAAUAGCUUCUGCUUCUGCUGCUGCUGCUGCUGUUGCAAUAGCCUCUGCGUCUGCUGCUGCUGCUGCAACAGCUUCUGCGUCUGCUGCCGCUGUUGUAGGAGGUAGUACUGAUAACCGAGGUCAGGGUUGUAGCCGCUCGUUGGUCGCAUCAUCCUGCUGCUACUGCUGCUGCUGUAGCUGCUUAUGCUGUUUAUGUUGAUGGGAGGUGGAGUCCACAAGGGCCGCUGGGAAGGCAUCAUUCCAACGGUCCUGCGGACAUGAAGCCAUGUGGGACACAUGAGCAGCAAUCAGGGAGAGCAAUCCAUGAUAAACUUGGAAAAGAAGACGCUCUCUUCAAAACGGUGCGUGGUAUAAUGGAAGACGACCACAUGCAUCUGUGGCACCUGCGACGUCUGUUUUCUUUACAUGCGCUUGUUUUCAGCACAUAGAUUAUCAGGGAUAUAGACAGCAGCUCUAAUUGGGAGUCGAGAGCCCUGGGUUUGUCGUCCGCGCGGCGGUAAAACCGGUCUGCAGCAUGACGGCCACUUGGCGUUAUAACAGUGGAAACAAAGCCCACCUGCAAAGGUCGGAACCUGCAUAGGCCGAGUACUUGGAUCCGUCCAUGGCGGUGUGAGGAUUGAAACUGUGUUGCUAACCUCUGUCCUGUUGCUAACCGAGCAACAAAUAUGACGACUGGAAGACGAUUGGAAAGAGCAAACGCUGAUGAAUUGAUAUCUAUUUGAAUAUCAAUUUUGUUUAUUGUUUAGUUGCAUCCACAGCUUUAAGCAAAACAUUAUGUACCAUAUUCUGUUCCCUCCGCCGCCUGCGACAGUAGCGCAGGUCAGCUGGGCCCAUCAUGGGUUUUCAUAAGUUUUCGUCCGGUUUUCGCUUCAGCAGGUUUAUCUCCACCAAGUUUUCGAAACAGAUUUUCUUUGUGAAAGAUGGUUUACUCAGCAGUCAGACUUGCAAGCGCACGGCAAAACUGAGCGAUGCCUCUGGCAUACAUUUACUAAUAUGACAAAGGCACGAUUAAUUAGUCUCAAUAAUCAUCUCAGCUAUGCAUAUUGUAACUGCCAAGGCUUGCCGAGCUUGUCGGGUUGCGCACAGUUUGGCAACAGCCUUGCGAGGUAGUUGAUGCACAAGGCACAGACAUUUUCCUGGAGUCCUCAAAUGUGACAUUCCGCGUUAUUAUAUGUUGAUUCAGUAGCGGCAGGCACCUCAAGGCAGGAAAAAGGCUGCACUGUGUGCUACGGUGGACUCGGACAUCAUUCCCAACAUAUGCCAUUGCCGGCGACGCACCCACUGCCAACAAACAAAGCUUUUAUUCAUCGACAUUGGAUGUGCUAUAUAUCUUAUCAAGUCUUUGGCGGUUUCCGUAGCCGUGAGCGCUCAUAUUCACGCAUGGACCUCUCCAUCUAGGAGCACUGUCACGGAUUGGCCAUGGACAUGGCUGCACAGGAUCGCCAGGGACGCGGAUGAGAUUGUGGGGGGUACUUAACGUGGUUACCCCAUUAAUGCUGAGCCGGUCGCUCUUCUACCGGCAGCUUUCGCCUGCGAGUGCUGGGGGAGAAAGUAAUCCGUAGACGCAGGGCCAAAAAAUGUUCCAGGAUAAAUAUGAUUCUUCCAAUCAAAACAUUUAACUCCACUCCGUUUGACAGCACAUUUGGCUGGGCCUCCGCGCCUCGCCGGCCGCUGGCCAACAAGGCUUUGCGAUAUUCAACGUGUUAGAUGUUUCAAACCUUAAGAAAUUUCUCACAUGUUACCUUAUGCUUUGCUGUUUUGGAAGGUUAAAGGUAUUUGAGGUGCCGUCUCAGCGGUGCUGCGGCUCGGGCGCCGUAUCGAGCUAGUUCAAUCAGGUUCAAUCGUCCCGCAGCGUAAGCGAUACUAUAUGCUAGCUGCGGUUAUAAGAGCUCAGCUUAUGCAUAAAGAUUUAUUUUAAUUUUUUACAAGAAAUUUAAUUGCACCGCAUCCUCGGGACGAGGCUCGUGUGCGGGCUAAUGAAUGCUCAGGGCAAUGUCGAACAUCCAACUCAAGACUGGUCCGCGGCAACGCAAUCCCCCCACUUAACAUAGUUGAUCGGAGAUUGCGCUGCGGGAAGCGAAUACCGCUUUAUGCUAUAUUCUCGUGCUAGACGUCAAGUGGUCCUCUGGAACCUGGUUCUGGAGCGGGCAAGUUUGGGGCUUCCAAGGCCGGCCUUCUGAGUUUUUAAGUUACUUCAUCGUUUUAGCAUACCGUUAGACAGCUUAGCCUGCUGCCUUUGUGGCCGACGAAGCUCAUGCUCAUGGAAGCCUUGCUUGCUAAGGCUGUAAGGCAGGGAGGGCCCGGGUGGGCAGGGCCAGGUCCGUGGCACACCCCACCUCCGCGCAUUGCGAAUUUACACAUCUGACAAUUUGCUGGUGUAUAAGAGCACAUAUGCAGAACGCCUCACUAAAAACCGAGUCCCCUAAGGGGUUGUUUCCACUUAGGAUUAUCGUCACGGAUUAGGGCUUAAUCCGUGGCAUAUGGAAACUGGGAUAAGCGACCAUUGUAUGAGCGCCUGUGUAGUUAGAUUACUGCACUGUAAAAUGCGAUCGUCCCUCCUACUAUAUAGGCACAGAUUGGGUGGAAAAAGGUUUGCUGCUCGGUGGAUUACCGCGUUAUACACCGUCUCAUCAAAAAACGGAUUGAUAGCUUGAAUUGUUGCCUUUUGAUAAAUCCUGUAAGUGUUCCUCAUUUUGUGAGAAGUUUUGCGCUUCUUGUUCGGCAUUAUGCUGCAUAAUGCCGAAUCAAUCGGUGGGCACUGCCACCGUGGGUGCUGCACCACACCGUGGGUGUCGUUCAAAGGCGAUGCAAGGCCCGCAUGUUGAUACGCAAUAGUCUUUUAAAUGUCCAGCAGUACUCAUUUUGCGUUUCAUGCACGGAAUGGCAGUUGUUGUACUGCAAUCCGUUCCUUAAUCCAGAACCUCCUGUGAAUUUGCGAAGGAUUGGUGCGCGGAUUUGAACACCUUAAAUCCGCGGUAUAAAUCCUAAGUGGAAACAUCCCCUAAGUGUGCAGGCAUUCCCACAGGGGACUUCCCGGGAAUAAAAAACUCACUCCUACCGCGCUGUGGCCCCAGAAGCUGCCCUAGGAAGCGUGUGUCCCGUCCCGGCCUCGUCGCUUCAGUGUGUCGGACUCUGCCACGAAGCCCCGCUCUGUGGGGCGCCGCUGCACCAGUUCGGGAGGCUGGACCUGAUGCACACAUCGCCACAUUCCGGACAUGACGCAAGACAGCAGGAAAUGUAAAAACUAGGGGGGCGGCAAAGAAUGGAUUACACGGACUAUGCCCGAAAAGGUCAUAUGCCCGGGGUUCGUCCAGCAGUAUGUCAUCCCGGAGCGGCGCGCCCGCGUCCUUACAUUCAACCGAAUUCAACAUCCGAGCGCGCACUCCCAUAUGGGCGUGUACUCCGCAAAAACCGAAAUGACGACCCGCGGUUUAAGGCCGUAGAGUGUUAGUAUGUCGCUGGCGGUGGGCGCGUUUCCCAACCGGUGUGCAUGGGGUCAACAGAAGCCCACCGUUAGCACCGUUAGCCGGUUAUCGGUUGUCAGUUAUCCACUAUCCAGCCGCAAAGAAAGCUGCUAAGUGCUGGAUCCAGCUCGGCUGCCAAGAACUGGAGGCUGCGGGAUCUUGGUCAUGAGCUUCUUCGGCCCGAGUCGCUCUCCCUCUUCGUAGACUCGAACAGGAUAUUACAGAGGGGGAUCCCAAAAUACAUUCACAUUCGCCGUGGGGAGCAGAAGGAAAGCGAAUCCUCCAACGGCCUCAGCUGCAAUCGCACACGCAGUGCCCCUCAAAGACGUGGCAUGUUAUCCAUCUACAUAAUCAUAAUCCGAAGCUGCUAUUCCUACAUAUAUUCUUAUGUGCUGAUUACUAUAUCUAUUUUUUCGACAAUAAGCUAAAAACCGCCUGCCCAGCUCAUCAGGUCUUCCUGCCCAGUCAGCGAGUUGCGAGCCGCAAGCCGCAACGGAUGUUUCCGUACGUACAGCUUGAACGUGCCCGCAGGUUGGCAUUACCAGCAGACUACACUGCAGCAAAGGUACCGAAACCAGUCGCAAUAAUGCGAUCUAGGAGUUGAAGGAAAAAACAUUUCGACUAACGGAGGGCCAUCUCUAGACGACCCGCGCAAUGCACACCGAGAGCACACAGGAUGAUGAUUAGGGCCCCCCCCUUAACAUCGCCACCUCACGACGAGCCCCAAUAUAUAAUAUAUAUAUAGAGAGAGGGUGCCAUAAAACCCAAGAAUCUUCGCAGCGCCCUUCCCGUCACCUACAUCACGGGUAUCGAACAGGUGUGACUGCAGUCAGUCACCCACCCACAUCGUCCAUCACGCAAUCCACCCCCCUCCCCAGCCGUACAUAUUCCUAAAGCUGUAGGCGGCCCCGGGCCAAUAGAGCCACGAACGGCAAAAAAGGCGCUCCUGCAAAGAAGAUCACGGUCUUUGCAGGUAUUCAGCUGCAACGCCAUUUGGUAUUAUUAAAAUAUUUUGCUGGUCGCCCACUACAUACGACGGUCGCCACAGCAGCAGCAUACCAGUGUCCCGUCCGAGCAAGAAGGUGCAACGCUACUCAGUUCUCCUGCCCCUGCCCCCCUCCUCCACAAUGUGACACCACCAGCCACACUUUCAGCCUUGCCAGUCUUUCGCCAGUCUCGUCCGCCACCACUGCAGUCCGUGUCAAAAGAAAACAUGUAUGGGAGAGAGAGAGAGAGAGUCUUUGCGUCAAAAAUCCUAGCGUCAAAUUUCAAUAUCUAAGGGUUUUCGGUCUAAAAUAAGUAACAUGCAGGCGAUGCCGCGCACAACAACCCUCUAUAUAUAACGCAACCCCCAGGUCUCCAAAACAACGGAAUAAGCCAAUACAUGAAUAAUCAGUCGCGUCACAGCAUAUAGCAUAGUCAUGCAUAGCAUUGCAUCGCCCGAAUGCUGCGAGAGUGCUUCAGUACCCGCUCCCUUCACAGACACAAGCAAGACAAGACAAGGCACUUAUUGGCAUACCUCGCCCGAAAAGAGGUGUCACUUGACCGCAGUGGCGUUAGCAGUGAGUUAAGCAAGCAAUCCACUUCAACAAAACGGAAAGCUACCGAAAGAAAAACACAAAACGGUUAAUGUGAGAGUGGAACGCGAUGUACAACACACAUCACACCGAACGAUAAAGCAGCGCAGGAAGGCGUGCUGCUGCGCCUUCCCGGCAACAACAUGUGUAUGGUACUAAGAAGUAAGCGCAAGGAAAACAAAGCCUAAGAGAACCAAGCAUAACAAAUAACUUAACACACACAAAGCUACUACUUUGUCCAGGUUGACAACCGAGGUUGAUGAUACUCAUUUGAAAAGCUACUGAUGCUGUUGUUGCUGCUGUUGUUGCUGCUGCCAAGCUUAUACCUUGGUUGCUCGAGCAUACGCUUCAGUUCAGCAACAUCGCAAACUGCCAUACAUAAGUUAUCCUUUGAUGUUAUCCCCUCCCCAUAUAUUCAUAUUCAUGUACCAAGCUCCGCCUCCUCACCAGCACCAACUGGAUGUAUCUUCUCGCCUCCGCCAUGCAGCUUCUGCACUUCUCGAGGUCUGGGAAGCUGCCCUCAGGAGCCACCUGGCCACCCUCCCGGCCCUUAACGGCCCCAACCGCUCUGCCGUACCUCCCUCGCCGCCAACCCCACAAACCCCGUCACCUCCCGGCGGCAGAAUGGACAAAGCAGCGGUCGCGGCGGCUUGCUGCUGCUCGGCCCCAGCGCCAUACGGCACAUCCGCUCCGCACACCGCCCGCACAGCCCGUGACCGCAUCCCGCCGGGGCCACGGCCUCCCGCUCAACAAAACACACACCACAAAACACUUCCUCAGACUCCUCCUCCUCCUCCGCUACAGCCUCCUCAAAUGUUCUCCUUUCUCCACCACCUUCCCUCAUGCUGGAGCCACCAACCACAACCGUGCCCAGCUGCAUUUGGGAGUUACGGUCGUUGCUAUUGGUGACGGGCGCGGGGUCCGAAGGGGAGGCGGCAACGGCAGUCCACAAAACUGCCGUCGGCACCUGUGACGGACCUGUCGCUGCAGGAAUACUUGGUAACUGAGAUCCCGCUUCCCUUUCCCCAGGAGUUUCUCCUUCCUGCUGCUGGUGGUGCUGCUGUGGCAGUAGCAGUCGCGGCGGCGACGGUGGCAGCAGCAGUCGCUGUAGCUCGCCCAGAAGCCGGGUCUGCAGCGCCGCAGCCGCAAUGGACGCCAAACUGGCAGGUCCCGUGCGAGCGCCCAUGCCGCCCCCGAAGGGUGGCAGAAGCGACAGUUGCGAAGGCGAGGAGGGAGAGGCAGCUGACCCGUCGUCGCUCCUUGAAGAUGCGAGGCCCAGAACUUCCUCGACAGGUAGGCCGGGGUGCAGGAGCGUCACCAGCUCCCGCUGUGUGGGGUGGUGAUGGGCCGCAAUCUGCGCGGGGUCGAGAACGGGGCCGAAGAGGAAAUGAGUAUAUUUGGAACGAGGGUAAGCCGGGUAACUAGGGUGGCAGGCAAGCAGUAACCCGGGACAGGGACGGUGGACAGCAUCAGCAGCAUCCGCAGCCUCCGCAGCAUCCGCAGCAAAGGAGCAACACUGCCGGCAGCAUAAAUUUAAUGGGGCUGGGUGGUGGGGCGCACUGCGCAGCUUUCACGACUGCACUGCACACAGGUAUAGUCACGUCGCGGCGGCCACCCGUUUCACUGCCUCGCGCGCAAUACGCCGCUAGCAACAGCUGCAAAAUCACACAUCAGGCUGUGUCAUGACAUUGGAUCCAAAGAUAGAACGCUGUGGGAGUGCACGCAAUAGACAAGGCUCCGUGGCAUUGACACCGUGAUCCCGCGCUGACGAGACUGCGUUGAUCCACUCCACUCCACUCCGCAACGUCACGCCCCCGUCCCCAGCCCCAUUCCCCCCGUGCACCCCACCAGCCCAGAACGUGCUGCUGGUACUGGUACUGGUGCUGGUACUGCUGCUGCUGCUGGUACUGGUGCUGGUCCUGGUGCUGCUGCUGCUGCUGGUACUGGUACUGGUACUGGUACUGCUGCUGCUGCUGGUACUGCUGGUACUGGUGCUGCUGCUACUGGUACUGGUACUGGUACUGGUACUGCUGCUGCUGCUGCUGGUACUGGUGCUGGUACUGCUGCUGCUGCUGGUACUGGUGCUGGUACUGCUGCUGCUGGUACUGCUGGUACUGGUGCUGCUGCUACUGGUACUGGUACUGGUACUGCUGCUGCUGCUGGUACUGGUGCUGGUACUGCUGCUGCUGCUGCUGAUGGUACUGGUGCUGGUACUGCUGCUGCUGCUGGUACUGGUGCUGGUACUGCUGCUGCUGCUGGUACUGGUGCUGGUACUGGUGCUGCUGCUGCUGGUACUGGUACUGGUACUGGUACUGCUGCUGCUGCUGCUGGUACUGGUGCUGGUACUGCUGCUGCUGGUACUGCUGGUACUGGUGCUGCUGCUACUGGUACUGGUACUGCUGCUGCUGCUGGUACUGGUGCUGGUACUGGUGCUGCUGCUGGUACUGGUACUGGUGCUGCUGCAGCUGGUACUGCUGGUACUGGUGCUGCUGCAGCUGGUACUGCUGGUACUGGUGCUGCUGCUGCUGGUACUGGUACUGGUACUGGUACUGCUGCUGGCUAACAAACACCAAGCCCCAACCCCCCUCACAUCCAUACCACUACAACCCUCACAGCACCCCCAGUACCACAGCACUCUUACACAGCCACCCAGCCACCCAGCUAGCCAGCCAGCCACCCACCCAGGCAGCCAGCCAGCACCCCGCCCACCCACCUGCCAGGGAAACUGGUGACCGUAGUUGGCACAACGCCGGGGAUCCCGCGUCCUGGCAGCGUUUCGUGACGAGGAGGAUCUCACGCGCUGGACCUGCGUUUGCGUUUGCGUUUGCGCGGUUAGUGAUACGGUUGGCAACACUCCGCGUUGCACGGCCCGGAUUUUGGAUGUAGAAUACGGUACGGGUGUAGGUUACAAUGAGACUCUCUGGGUUGAGACUAAGACGGGUGAGUGGUGGCUGGGUGUGUGUGUGGGUGUGUCGGUGGGUGUGUGGGUGCGGAGGGCCCUCCGCUUCUUAACACACAGCGGUACUGCAGGGGCUACCAGGUAGAGGGGCGCCCCUCCGCGUCUCCCCGCCGCUUGACUCCGACCCGGAAGUUGCUCAUCCUGGCUCCGAGCGCCCAAACAACACCGCCACCGAUACCGUCCCCUCCCUCCCUCCUCCGCCCCCUCUGCUCACCCGCCCCACCUGAAGGCCCCGUGGCCCCAGGCCUCCUCUAUACACACUUACAUGGUACAUCAGCAGCUGCCGUACCACCUCCACACUGCCCCUGAAGGCGGCGAAGUGCAGCGGGGUCGACAGCGCAUCGCAGGAGACGAAGAUGUCAUAGCUGUGGCUGCUCGUGGCGGCGUUGAUGUGGGGGUCGUGGCGCAGCAGCUCCUCCACCGCGGCGGGGUGGUCGAAGAAGGCGGCAUAAUGGAGCGCGGAGAGGCCGCAGACACUUCGGACGUCCACAUAUCUGUGGGUGGGUGCAUGCGGGGCGGGUGUGAGGUGCCGUGGAUGAUGGGUCGGGAAGGGGGGCCUCGUAUGAAUCACCGGUGGCAGUGCCACAUCGGCGGGCCACACAUCAUCGCCAUCAUCAUCGCCAUCAUCAUCAUCAUCCGACAUCAUCAUCAUUAGUCACCAUCAUUAGUCACCAUCAUUAGCAGCAGCAGCAGCAGCAGCAGCAGUUCUAUCAUGGUCAUCGUCAUCGUGGCGCACCUGACUCCCAGUCGCGCCAUAUCCCGAACCGCCAUGUUCUGCAGGAGCGCCUCUAUGCACGGCGCACUGCCAGACAUGGCGGCAUAGUGCAGCGCCGUGCGGAAGCCGCAACGGUCGCCGGCCCAUGGGUCAGCUCCCUACAUACAUACAGCCACACGUUACGAUCGUGGGGGAAUAACGCCAUUUCACAGUGCAGUCCAUGCACAUCUAGGCAUGCACAUCUAGGUAUGCGUGGGUGACAAAUAUGGGUGUAGCAUUAUUCUACGGACGCAAGACUACUAUAUGAAUUGACAUAUUGACGAGCUAGUGACGAGGUCGACGGGCCAGCCAUGACCCCGAUACUAACCACUGUUCACAUCCCCCCCGGCCCCUGGCCAUCAAGAUGUGGUUACUAAGCCACCUACAUAUCACCUAUCCAUCUGUAUGUCUGUCUGUCAGUCAGUCUGCCUACCUGCGCCAUUAGCAGUUUGACCAGCUCGGGACUGCCAGCCGCACACGCGCACAUGAGGGGCGUCUGGCCUGCGUGCAGGUAUGCAUGUACGUAUGUAUGUAUGUGUAAAGGGCCGGCACGGAGUUAGGCAAGCGGACAAGUAUCGGGGGGAAAACGACCGUGGGAAGUGCGGGGUACGGCACGGGCGGGAAUGGCUGUGCUGCAGCACAGCCCGUACGAGAACCAUUCACCUCGUCCGCGACAAAAGAGCUGCCGUCGUACGAGUUAGAAACCGCACCAGAGCCUCUCCCGCCACCAGCUGCACCCCAUCCACCCACCCACACGCACCCACCCUUGCAGUUCACCAUGCCCACGGCGAUGCGCACUCCCUCAGCAACCGAAUGGGGCAGCGGCAGGUCGUUACGGCGGCAGUACGGCUGCAGCGCCUCGCGUACGACCGACAGGCUAGCGCCGGACAGGAAGGACAGCAUCUGCUGAACCACCUGCGGUGGGGUGGGGUGGCGCCAACCAGUCCGUCAGUCCGUCUGUCAGUCCAUCGGCGGGACACCUCCCGCGAGUUCACCCGCAGGCGGAGAGGGGCGACAUCCGGCCCCCACGCGCAGGGCCACACCAGCCGCAUCAUGUCAUCCCUUGCGCGCACCUCCACUUGCUUCCGUUCGCAGGCGGUGUGCAACGGCGUGCCGGCAGUGCUGGACAGCACAGCCGUGGUUGCGCUGAGCAGCCAUGGACUGGUCUGCAGCUUGGAUUGCAGCACAUCCGGCCCGUCAACGGUCUUGAGGGACCGAUUAAGCUCCGCGACAGCAAAAGUGGAUGGACCGCAGCCCAUGGUCUCCCGCGCGAGCUUCGGGCGGUGGUGCGGGUCUCGUAAGUGGAUGGUUUGCAGUGAGACGCUGUGCCUUGUGUCCCCUGGCAGACAUGAGCAAUGCCAUGGGUGCAUGCUUUAACACAAGCAUACCGUGAAGGUUUACUAUUUAAACCCUGUCGGGUGACGGAAACCAGCGUUGUGUCAUGCCGUCCAGGGCAGCAGAUGUGCGCCAAGGUAAAAGUUGCAAUGCCCAGCGCAUGAAGGGUAUAAAGCUACACUGCAAUCAAACCUGGGACAUGUCGUCUUUAAGCUAGCCUGAGCCUCAGUUGCCAUCCUGCUAGCCAGCCAAGUAGGCGCUAAUCGGAUUGAAAGUGCUGGCACCACCAGCACCUAAGGACCAACUCGAUCUUUAGCAUGUGAUGUUCUAGUAUGGCAUUCAAAGGGGUCCUUGCGGUGCGCCUCAAUUCUGUGUACCAAUACAAGGGAGUUUGCCCCUGAACUCCUUCUUUACCCAAUCGUUAUGUUCACAAAUCCAAAAUGUAUCUCCCCAUGGCGAGAACACAUUAUCAUGGUUUUGGCUGUAAAUACUCCCAAAGCAUGACCCAUAUCUCUUAAUUGGCGCCAAGUUUAGCCCCGCACCUUCUUGCCCUUCAGAUAACAGCAACCGGCCAAGGGAAUAUGCCGUCCGACGACCGUUAGUGGUUCCAGUCAGUCCAGCGCACGCGGCCGAACCUUGCGGAAGAUGCCUUCAAUGGUGGCGGCUUUCACCAAAGCCAAUAGAUUUGUACCUCACGUUAGAAGUUAUAGAUGUUCUUAAAGAGGAUCAGUUAGUUUGGUGGUUGUGCGGAAGGAAUCUUGCCCACUUAUUCCCCCAAAAUGCACGUACAAAUGGUACUGCUACGGCAUUUCGUGCCCCCAAUCGCCAGUUUCAACGUUUAAUAUUUGCAGUUUUCUUUAUGACAUAUGCGGCCAUGGCCACUUGCAUACAUGGCUGAUUGUUUAUCGGGAAUGCAUUUUCACAUUUCUGCCAACGUCACGUCCUACGUAGUAUCUAUGGGUGCCUUGAAGAUCGCUGUUCCCGCUUCCAUGUGGAACAUGUUGUCGCGCUUCAUUCAUUCUGAAGCCAUAUGGCUUUCUUUCGUCCCCGCCGCGGCUCCUGUCUCGCCUUGCUCAGCCAUCCGGAAAGAAUUAAGCGGUGUAACGGAGCAUAAACCAUUGCAACUCGAAGCGUAUAGGUAUUCUAGCAUACCGCAUGACAUGCAAAACACAGCGGCCAGCCGGAACACAGCAAGUCCCUGCACACGAGCUAUCGGGGAACCCUUCGUGCAUAGAAUCAAAGAAAAGGGAUACGUAAGGGUAAAAAGUAGCUUUUUGAUUUUCAGGAUUGCCGCAUUGGCAUCGCAGGCGCCAAAUAUCAUUGGGUACCCUCUAGCAACAGGACCGCCUCCAUUUAAGUGGAGGCAGCAAUCCUGCUGAUUGCUGCCUCCCCCAACCCCCGCAGCCCCCAUGGCGGGAGUGACCCCCAUAACCACCUCCAGAGCUACGCUGUGCUUUGGAACCGAAGUCAGCCAUGAGGAGGAACCCACCAUAUGGCUGCACAUGCGCUGGGGGUUCACCGCCAGGAAAUGCUAAUCUAACGGACAUGUCUGCUACUGCAGGCGCAUACAUACAUACAUACCCUUCGGAAUCGGCAGCAAUCGCCAGCAGUCUUGUAAUCAUGGCCCCACGCCCCAUGCAGGGACUCCAUGCAGGGACUCCAUGCAGGGGGAACUCUCCUGGAUAUAAAAUGGCACUGGAUGGAGUGAACGACGACGUGCUGUCUUAUAUAGCUGUAUAGGUGUAUAGCCCUCAUCGUGUCGUGGGUGUGGACUCUGCAUGGAGCUGUUUUCUCUCCUAACCCGCAUGGUGGGGUAGGAGAGAGGAGGAAGGGGUAGAUGGUUGGCACGCCUUGGCGCUUGGCUCCACCCUUGUAGCAAGCUGCCCCCGCGCAACAAUUCCCCAAACAUGAACUUGGCGCACUUUGGCAAUGGUCAUUCGCAGAGUGUGACGCAAAGUAUGACGCACGGUUCGUUUGGGGCAGUUUGGUACAGUUUGGGUCGCUUGGGACCUUGUUAGAAACUGAUACCACACGUUUCAGUACCUGCAUCCCGCCGGGCACCGCACAUGCUCACGUUGUACUGUACCUGCUACUGUGCCUCCUCGUGGCUACUCGUGGCCGCAUUGGAGCACUGGAAUGAUGGGACCAGGUGCAACGGUGUUGUGCGCAGCACGGACCAAAGACAAGUACGGUGGUAGUUGACUUGACUUCACACACACAUACACCGGAAACGGGUUGCGAACCCAAGCUCGGAGCCCAUAGGCCUGGCCCUUCGCCUGCAUUUAAUGGCGUCUUAAGUAAUAGAAAGGUAUUAUUAUUUAUGGAGUUUUGAUGCGUUUCGUGGAAAUCUAGAGACCGUGCUGGUAGAGAAAGGAACAUGGAUCUGACUACAUAACGCUUUUCUUGCGUAUGACAAAUAUAACAGUGUUUCUAUGUCAGACGCCACCCUUUUGGCGGUACGAAUACAUAGCAGGCAUUAGUAAAGAAUCUUUAUAAGAUUUUAAUGCUAUACUGACUCAACAGCUUCAACUCAAAUGUGUCUAUUAGCUUACGUUAAAACGAGCGUGUUAAUGUACAGGGAUAGCUAUCGACCUUUCCUUGUCUGUUGCCUCAAUGACGACCGAACAGCCACCUGCCCACAGAGAACGUGAAAAGUUCUGUUGAGCGGACACAAACAGCAACAGUGUGUAUCGUUCGGUUUGACUAUCUUUGUCAAUGUUAAUGACACCUAUGGAUGUGACUGAGCGCUAAUUGGCGGCUGCUGCCGCCCUGUAAACGUUUCUUUUUGGGGACUUUAGUACGACUAGCGGUAAGGAAAUUUUGCUGAAAGUGGCGGAUUUCUUACAGCUGUUCGCUCGAAAUAGCUGCGAUGACUCGAAGUGCGGAAUCCCCCAGCUCCUCCAAAGUGCGAGGCCUUUCCGACAUCGUUCGACUCACGUAAAAAGUUUAAUUUUAACAAGUCUUUGUUAGGGCUGUGGAAUUCUAAUCUUUCUUGGCAGCAUUUUGGGAGAAUUGCCGCUGCGUCAACUUUUGCCUCGGAACACGUCGAGCAACUGUGAGCCCUUUUGGAUGCCCACAAGUAAUGCCUUGGUGCUUGAAUCUUUCCUGAUCAACAUGUUUACGUUCCAAUUAUGCUGCAUAAUAGAAAACGUGCUCCUUGAUGCCAGGUCACCUGCUAAGCAACGGGCAAUUUCGCGGACAUACAAGUAUCAACCUCCUGUCCCAACCCGCAUCAACCUCAGCCCGUCUGCCAUGGGCUGCAGUCCAUCUACAUUGGCCGUGGCGGCGCUAAAUCGUUCUCUCGAGACCGGGGAAGGACCAGACGUGCUGCAAUCCAAGCUGCAGACCAGCCCAUGGCUGCUCAGCGCAACCACGGCUGUGCUGUCAAGCACUGCCGGCACGCCGUUGCACACCGCCUGCGAACGGAAGCAAGUGGAGGUGCGCGCAAGGGAUGACAUGAUGCGGCUGGUGUGGCCCUGGGCGUCUCCUCAAUCUCUUGACCUCCUAGCCGCUUCACACUGUCAAAUAUUUCCCCCGCGCACAUGGCUCCUACAGAAAUUCAGACAGACAGACACACACACACACACACACACACACAGAAACUCAGGCACACACACAUACAUACAACAGUAUACAAGGUCAGGCACUACUGGUAACGCACACACCGAUGCCCCCGGAGGUUCCGGGAUCGAGACCUGUCAGGGUCGGAAAAUCCUUCCGAUGGUGGAAGGUAAAAGUGCCCCCAAUCGAUGGACGGUGGUGACCUGGGAUAAAGUUGAUCUGCGAGCUGACCAGGAAUGGAGUUGAGCCGCCGUUGAUCCGGCAGAUUCCGUUGGAUGUCCCACAUGUGGGGGCCGGAUGUCGCCCCUCUCCGCCUGCGGGUGAACUCGCGGCUGGUGUCCCGCCGAUGGACUGACAGACAGACUGACGGACUGGUUGGCGCCACCCCACCCCACCGCAGGUGGUUCAGCAGAUGCUGUCCUUCCUGUCCGGCGCUAGCCUGUCGGUCGUACGCGAGGCGCUGCAGCCGUACUGCCGCCGUAACGACCUGCCGCUGCCCCAUUCGGUGGCUGAGGGAGUGCGCAUCGCCGUGGGCAUGGUGAACUGCAAGGGUGGGUGCGUGUGGGUGGGUGGGUGCGUGUGGGUGGGUGGAUGGGGUGCAGUUUGUGGCGGGAGAGGCUCUGGUGCGGUUUCAACUCGUACGACGGCAGCACUUAUGUCGCGGACGAGGUGAAUGGUUCUCGUACGGGCUGUGCUGCAGCACAGCCAUUCCCGCCCGUGUCGUACCCCGCAUUUCCCACAGUCGUUUUCCCCCGAUACUUGUCCGCUUGCCUAACUCCGUGCCCGCCCUUUACACAUACAUACAUACGUACAUACAUACCGGCACGCAGGCCAGACGCCCCUCAUGUGCGCGUGUGCGGCUGGCAGUCCCGAGCUGGUCAAACUGCUAAUGGCGCAGGUAGGCAGACUGACUGACAGACAGACUGACUGAAAGGCGGGGGUGGGGGCGGGGUGGGGGUGGCGCAGUAGUCCGUGUGGGUAUCGGCUGGGCGGGUAAUGGUGAGUGGCUGAGGAGGGAGGGGGAGGGGAGGGGAGGAUUCAGGAAAAAUGCGGGUUUUGAAGAUGCGGCGCAUGACAUGCAUGUUACGCCAGGCUGCCAGACAGACAGACGCAGGGAGGGAAGAGGAGAGUUAGUUAGCCAACCAACCAACCGACCGACCGACCAUUCAGUUAGGAAAGGGGGAUAGAAGGGAAGGGGCGUGAGAAAGGGAAAGUUAAAGAGGGGAAAACCCCUGGAAUAGGAAAUAGGUCCUUCUAGUUUUGUACUUGUGGCCUCAUGCGCACCUUCUUACCAGCGGAAUUGAGGAAUCUUUAUCCUGCCGUACAUGCCGUACAGGGAGCGGACCCGUGGGCUGCAGAUCUGUGUGGUUGCCGUACUGCGCUUCACUACUGCGCUAUGGUGCCUGGCAGUGCCCCCUGCAUAGCGGCGCUGCUCGGCAGUCCGUCGGGCCUGACACUGCCGCCUGGGGCUUCGGAGCCCUCCCGGGCGGGAGUCAGGUCUGUGAAGGGGCGUGUAUAGCGAUAUGGACACCAAGUAGACAGACAUCUGUCGCAUAGAUAUAUUUCUAAAUAAUAUAUUUAAUAUAAAUUAUUUAGGAUUUCCACACGCGCGUUACGAUCGCAGGCAGGUAUACAAACCACACAGGCAUACGUGUAUUUAGGUAUGUAUGUAGGUGACUGUACGUGUGCGCAGAUAUUUCUUGGGUCGUUGGCUGCAUGAAUGCAUGAUGACGUGCUGCAAGAGGAAGCAAGCUCGCAUGGCGACCAAGGUGGUGUCAGACGUCUAUGUACGACUGUGUACGACUGUAGAGGCGGCGGCACUGGAGGAACAGCGUGACCCCCCCCGCAGACAGCAGUGUGUAUGUAACGGCAACAUGGCAACCUUACAAUCCUUGAGUUGCCUAAUCAGGCAGCACCACCCCUCGCUGGGCUGUGGUGGUGGUGCUGCUGUUGCUGCUGUUGCUGCUACUGCCUUUGUGACUAGCUGCAGCUUGAGGACGCGACCGGUGUGAUCAGCUUCGCUCCGAAUCAGAAUCACUGCAUACUGCAUACACAUCAUUUUGUGGGGAUUUUUCGUAACCCCCUCGACACCUUUCCCCCCUCGCGAACGAAGUGCUUAUUUCUGCAAGCGCCACACACACACACACACACACGUCCUCGUAAAAAACCCAUCCAACAAGCCAUCCCAUCCUGUCGUAUCUGUCGUACAGUACGACAUACAUUACGAUAUGCAAAUACGCACUAACGCUCAUUACUCCCAGCAUUUCGCGGGAGGCCCUUCAGGCGGCUUUGGCUACAGCUACACCACCCUGCACAGUCGCUCAUCUGCCCAAGCGCGUGAUCAUCAACCACCUGUCAACUGACUAACUAACUGUAUGAUGCAUUAUCAAUUCAAUCCAAAAGAUAUAUAAUUUACAUAUAUGCACAACCUAAGUACAUGGCCACGUGCACAACUACGAGUUGAUACCAUAUGGCAUGUGCGGCAGAUGUACGAACGUAUGUAUGUGCAUAUGGUACAGUACAAUACAAAUCGCACCACGUUGCCCGCAUAACUACAUAACUACACAACGACUUACAUAACGACUUACAUAACGACUUACAUAACGACUUACAUGCGGCGCCGCGCCCCCCAUGAAGGUACGUCAACGUCCGCACCAGCAGCGGCCUCUCCGCGCUCCACUAUGCCGCCUUCUUCGACCACCCUGCCGCGGUGGAGGAGCUGCUGCGCCACGACCCCCACAUCAACGCCGCCACGAGCAGCCACAGCUAUGACGUGGACACCUCCUGCGACGCCCUCUCCACCCCCCUCCACUUCGCGGCUGUGAGGGGGAGUGUGGAGGUGGUACGGCAGCUGCUACGACACCAUGUAGGGGGGCCGGGGGAGGGGGAGGUAUGGUGUCUAAACACCUGUCCUAAUCUAACGGGUGUAGCGCUGUAGCCGCACCUGCCGUACCGCAUAGAUCGCGCUCCCAAUCUAUCUAUUUAAUUAUAUAUUUAUUUAUCUAUCUAUCUACUUGCCGCCUCCUCAUUCCCCUCAUGCCGCUCGGUGCACGGACUGACACAUACAUACAUACAUACAUACAUACAUACAUACAUACAUACAUACAUACAUACAUACAUAAACACGCACAUUUCUGUCGUCAGGUGCUGCACCCCACCACCCCCGGAGGCACGCGAGCAAGGGACCCCCGGCUGAGAGCCAAUCACGGACACAGAACUCCCUGGCAGGUGAGUGAGUGUUGGGGCGUCUGUCUGGGUGUGUGUGCAUGCUAACUACCUGCCGUACAUACACAUACAUGCAUACAUAUAUACAUGCACCUCCAGGCAGGUGGCUGGCAGAAGUUGAGGCCUGACUUCUGCUCCCGGAGGUUUCGGGUUUAAAUACGCUUGCCGACCCCUCGGUGUGUGAGGGGUGUUGGAAUGGGAGGUGGCCCCCCAUCUUGUGGACGGUGUAGGACGUGUUUAUAGCAAUUUGCGACCUGACCAGGAACUAAGUUGUGGCGCCUUGAUCCGCUAGAUUUGGUUGGAUGCUGGUGGUGAGUUGCUGAAACCAACGAAUACAUUCUGAAGUCGGAUGGGGUGAAUGGAUUAGGGUGCCCCUCUCGCAGGGGAGAGCAAGGAACUGCCCCAGGAAAGGGGACCGCUGGUGAAGCUAUACCACCCUGUAACAACAUACUAGUCCCUAUAGGCUGGCUGGCUCUUGCGCAAGCUGCUGCAGUAGCAUGCACUAGCCCCCGCCUGGCUCUUUCUGUUCCUCGCAGCCUGCCAUCCUGCAUGCUGCUACUGCCGCUACUGCAUGCUGCCGCUGCCUGUUCUUUUCCCCCUGCACAACCAUCCCUGUCCCCACUCCCACUCCCUCUCCUCCCCAUUCCUGCUGUCGUAACCACCCCAACCACCUGCAUCAACCCCCUGCCUCGAAUACACUUCCCGCCGCUGGUUAUUGCCUGCCACCCUACUUACCCUACUUGCCCUCGUUCCAAAAUCACUCAUUUCCUCUCCGGCCCCGUUCUCGACCCCGGCGGCGCAGGUCGCAGUGGACCACCACCCCGAACAGCGGGAGCUGCUACAGCUGCUCCACCCCGGGACACCACUGGAGGAAGUCGUAGAGCUCCUCGCGGCUUCAGGGACGGGGGCGGCCGCUGGUGGGGCUCCCUCUUCAUCCGCCUCUGCUUCGCAGCAACAGCUGUUGCCGCUAUCGCUUCUGCCACCCUUCGGGGGCGGCAUGGGCGCUCGCACGGGACCUGCCAGUUUGGCGUCCAUUGCGGCUGCGGCGCUGCAGACCCGGCUUCUGGGCGAGCUACAGCGGCUGCUGCUGCCACCGUCGCCGCCGCUGCAGCUGCUACUGCAGCAGAAGCAGCAGCAGCAGGAGGGGUGUACUGUGCAGCGUGGAGGGGAGGCGGCAGCUGGGGAGGGGGCCCCAGCCCAGGAUCACACCGGGACGACGCUGGCCGCCGCCGCCGCCGCCUCUGCCUCCGCCACCGCCGCCGCUGCCGCCGCCUCUGCCGCUGCCACCGCCGCCGCUGCCGCCUCCACUGCCUCCGCCACCGCCGCCCCCGCCACUGCCGCCGCCUCCGCCAUCGCCGCUGCCGCAGCAGCGGGUGGUGGUGGCCGUGACGUGAGGAAGGCGGACAGGGCGGGGCUAGCGACGGGGCAAGAGCAUCAUCAUCAACAGCGGGUUAGCUGUACGGCUUCGGCGCUUACGAAAGGCGCAACCAGCAAUAGCAGUCGCAGUAGCAGUAGUGCUGGCAGCAGUAGUGCUACUGCAGCUGCUGAUUCUGAAAAUAAUGUUGCCAGCACGAAUACUACCACCACCGGCGGCGGUACUACCAGCUCUGUCCAGGAGCCCGAGACGGUGAGUCAGCAGGCGACCACAGCACCGGGCCUCAAGACCGUCAUCACUUCAACAACACGUGCCUCGAAUCCCACCACCAUCACCACCGUCACCACCACCGUCACCAGCAGCAGCAGCUCCCCGCAUGUGCUACAGCUAGGUUCCAAAGCGGUCACCGGCAGUAGCAGCGGCAGUAGCAGGAGCGAGGCCCGGGCUACGGGCCCCGUUGGGGAUGUGGAAGUUAGAGGGAGGAGAAGGGGGAAGGGGGCACUUGUGGCGGAGGCUGUAGAGGAGGAGGAGGAGGAGGCUGAGGAGGUGUUUUGUGGCGUGUGUUUUGUUGAGCGGGAGGCCGUGGCCCCGGCGGGAUGCGGUCACGGGGUGUGCGGGCGGUGUGCGGAGCGGAUGUGCCGUAUGGCGCUGGGGCCGGGCAGCAGCAAGCCACCGCGACCGCUGCUUUGUCCAUUCUGCCGCCGGGAGGUGACGGGGUUUGUGGGGUUGGCGGCGAGGGAGGUACGGCAGAGCGGUUGGGGCCGGUAAGGGCCGCUGCGUUGCGUGACUGGAUCCGUUUUGUGAUGGCGGAGAUGGCGCCAUCAUCAUCAUCAUCAUCAUCAUCAUCAUCAUUUUCGACUUUGAACGGAUACUACUGUAGAGUGGUGGACGUUCGGCAGCAGUAGCAGAAGCAGGAGGUGCGGCCGCAAUUCGAAUCGUCGACAGUAGUGAUUAUGUGCAUGUGACUCACACGUACCAGGCUUACGCUUACAGGCAUCCAUGCAAACAUGUUAGAAAUAUUGCGAGAAAAGUUACAAGGUAUUGCGGGGCGGAUAUCCCUAUCGGCUCCCUGUCUGCGACAGAGAUAUACAGAUGCAUGGAGAUAUAUGUCAUUGUUUGUCCUAAGUACGGAUUAAAGUACGGAUUGUAGUGCAUUACCGGAUUAAAGUACGGAUUAAAGUACGGACUGUAGUGCAUUACCGGUAUAAUUUUACUGUUAUAUACCGUUGCAUGAUUAAGAAGUUGUUGUUACGAGCCAGGAGUACGUGUCACGGAGCACCUCCCGCUGGGUGCGAUCUCUUGGUACGACUCUCCCUCGGGCAGCAGGAGCCGCACCUACCUGGGGGCCUAGGGGGCCGCUAUCUAUCCUAUACACGGUUCGUGUGUGAUGAGAGGCAUGCACGGUUGCAAGUAGCAACAACACGAAUCUGUUGUUGUUGUUGUUGUUACUGGACUUAGGGUUUUCAAUGUUAUUGUAUCCGCCUCUGGGGCGACUGCCGCCGGACGCACACAGCCGCCGCUAUGGCCGGUCGUGGAGGUGAGAAAAGCCCCUUGUUGGAGUCAGCUGCAGCUGCAGCUGCAGCUGUAGCCAAUGGCUCGUCCAGGGGGGCCCUCCACCCGGUAGUAGCCAAUAUGCAUUAUGCGAUUAGGAUGGUGACGUACCUACAAUAGUCUCUCUCCACUGCGCCUGCACCGCGUUGACCACGAUUUCAAACCGUGCUCCGAUCGUGUAGUACUAGAAUAUGAAUUUCCAAACUUUUCGCCACAUCGUUUCCGUACUGUUGAGCAAAGAUGAUGAUUUUCAGUGGGUCUGGGAGUUUCGAGGAUUGGUGUUGUAGGUAUCCUUGGAUGAAAAUACGGUCUAAUUAAUAAGCAGCAGCAAUGAAAUAAUCCCUAGUGCGACUCGGAAGAAUUUCCUAGUCGUUGUCAUACUUGUGUGUUUCUUAACGGAGGACUUCAGUAUUGUUGUGUGUAAUAACAGCCGUCACAACGCUACCACAACCCCGGCUUUUACGGACACCCUCGUCGUCCCCUCCCCGUGUGUGUGUUGAACCUGUAACUUGCAAUACCUUUUGGUGGCUGUGAGCUGCAGUUGUAGCCGUCCUUUGUAGAUGGUGGUGGCGCGUUACGAGGCGGUCAAUUGCUGAAAUGAGGACCAUAGAUAAAUAGAUAAAUAGAUAGAUAGAUAUGUAGAUAGAUAGAUAGAUAGAUAGGUAGGUAGAUAGAUAGGGGCAUGAUGAGGUCAAUCAGGAACCAUGGACAACGAACAAAACAGUUUCGGUUAGUUACAUAUAGAUCCGUAAUAACCAAUGAAUCCCAAUGUAAACUCGAGGAGGUGCAAAACCCUUACAAGUGCAAAGUAUAGCUGAGCUGCAAUCAAAGCCUGCACGACACGAUAACUAGACAUGCUGGUGGCUGCUGCACAUGCAGCAGCAGCAGCUGCUAUACUCUGCUAUACUGCUAAACUGCAGUAGAAUGCCUAACUAUCAAGUACCAGUAACAUCUCCCCCAUGCGACGCAAAGGACUGGGCUAUGUAUGUAUGUAUGUACCCCUCUCCAUUGUACCGGCUGGCAGCGGCCAGACAUACAGUUAUACAUGCUUAGAAAACUCGGCCGCGUUUACAUUCCGCCGUACAUUCCCUUCCAGUAGUACAUACAUAUAUAUAUCCGUACCUCGCGCGCCCGAAGCUAGCUUAGAACCAAUUUCACACACAGCACGCGCUACUGCGGGAGUGCGUGGUGAGGUGAGGCGAGGUGAGGUGAGAAAACGCCAAGUAGCUGGCCAGUUGGGUGCGACAUCAAAAGUCUUACACGCGCCCGGGUAUGGGUACAUGGACGUUCCCCCCGUGCGUAUAAACCUGAUCUACACAUGCGAGAGAAUCGCAAGUACGGCCGUAUUCUAGUACGGCCGCAUCGCGUCGCGGAUGCGGCGAACACAUCCUGCAUGUGUAAGUAGGAGGUCAAUUUUCCUCUAGCAUAGCGCAUACGACUGGCCAUCCUGCGAAAGGGCGUAAUGGCGUCCUCCUACACCUUAAUCAAUAAAGCGACGCCGGAGGCAAAUAAUCCUCUGCAGCUGUAGUCACUUGUGGUCAACCGCGUAAUGCGCACACCAAGAAGCGCCUGAUAUACUAAACCUCCAAUUAUCAGCCAGAAAUGAGGUAAACUAGCUAUUACUGUUGAUGCACAGCAGGGACCAUGGACGAAUACAGGUGUCGGGGACAAAUCAAUGACCACUAUGAUGCAAUCAAUCAUAAACCAUCAGCUAAUAUGUAAUAUACGAAUACGGCUGCCAUCUUAUGAUGAUCAAUUUUUUCGCAGCGAAUCAACCGCGUUUUGGCCAUUCAUUCAUGAGCUGUUGCCAAAAGUUCGAUCGGUAAUUAUAACCAUCAGCACGCAAUCAUCAUCACGCAAUUAGACAUGCACAGACAGAAAAUCACAAACAGAUACAAACAAAAAAACUACUUUAUUAACGCUAAUAUCUCCAGAGCGGAGUUGCAGACUCGCAGCAGCGCAGGGCUUUAGGUCUAAUAAGCUUUCUCCCCUCCGUCCACGCCAUGUCAGCAUCCCAGCCGUUUGUGCACCCAUCCAUGCACCAAUUAUCAUGUGCUGCCUGUGCUGCCAAAGGAACAGCCGUUUCUCGGCAAGGCACGCACCAUCUAUCUGAGUACGCCUGCACGCCGCACAUUUGGCGAUUCAGCGCAGCUACGCACAUAAUCCAGCGCUGAGUGUUGCACUAGAUAUUCGUCCAGCGAUUUUACCCUCCAGCUCUGGCCAGGCGCAAGCACGCGAGUCGCGCUACUCAUCCCGCGUCUGCUCCUCCUGCUCCUCCUCCCCCUCCGACGCAACAUGACAGCCAUACAUACGGGAAUACGCAUGACCAGACGCGCGACUUAAAAGCAUCUUGGCGUAUAGGACAGCACUUUUAGUGAAACAUGCACCUCUACCAACCCCCCACCAACCCACCAUCACCAGCAUCCCACUCGCGUCGCUGGGGCACCUCCCUCCCUCCCUCCCUCCGUCCACCUCUGCUUUUCUCGAAGGGGGAAAACCCCCCCAUUUGGAACGGUCUAGAAGUCUUCCACGCAUUCCACCGAAGGGAGCAAGAGCUACCAUUCGGAAACCCCCGGGGGGGGUCGAUUGGGAUUCGGAAGCGCCUUGCUUGAGACACAGAGAGAGAGAGUGUGUGUGUGUGUGUAGGUAGGUAGGUAGGUAGGGGGCGGGGCAUGUAGGUAUCCGCGCAAGGGCUCAAGCGAAGCCGCUGCCGUAGAUAGGGCAGCAGUCCUUGUUGCUGUUGAAGGUGCUCAAAAAGCUGUGAGAAUGUAGGUGGGUGGGUGGGUGGGGGAAGAGGGGGCAAGGUGGGGAGGGUAAGGUGAGGGGAAACGUACCGCAUGAUGCGCACACAGCGGCAGCCUCAGCUCUUUCGGCCUCAGAGUACGUGUAUCACACAAUGUGUACCACAUACAUACACACAUAUGUACGUAUACAUACAUAUAUACACAUCUGGACGUACGGAUGCAGCCAUGUACGGACGUACGGAAACUUGGGCAACUCACCACUGUGAGGCGAUGCCCAGACACAAGUCCGACAUGGUCUUGGGGUUCUUCACCUCCACACACACGCGGGCGCCGCUGGCUUGUGCGAUGGACCAAUUGAUGGGGGUGGCUGUAGGGGUGGAGGGGUGGGGGGGUGGAGGGGUGGAGGGGUGGAGGGGUGGAGGGGUGGGUAUGCUGUGUAGUUGUGACGCAUGGCAUGCAUGAGGUGGGAGUGAGGAGAUGGAUAGGAACUGGCAUCCGCGAGCCAUUGAAUGCAUUAGGAAAACAUUUCACUCGAGUGAAGCCACAUCAUUGCAACCAUAAAACAACAUUUGUGCAUAUCACUGGAAAGGUAAAGAGUUUUAGGGGUUUCGAGUUUUAAUGAGUUUAGGUUUCUCCAUUUUUGUGUUCCCCCCGCUUACCUUUCAGCGAAUUGGUACCCGCCGCCCCCCAGCUGGAUGAGCGCUUGACGAAGGGCCCACUCGCCGGGUAGAGGUUGAUGCCAGCCACCCAGGAGCUCAUGUUCUGGUCUGUGGGUAGUUAGGCAGUUAGGCAGUUAGGUACGAGGGUUAGCAGGUAAGGAGUGAAUAGUUAGAUACGUGGAUAGUCAGACAGACGGGUGGAUGGAUGGAACUGGAUGAAUGUUGCAUAUAGAGAUGUAGUGGUGGUAGAGAAGUAGUAAUUGGGUAAACAUCGCUCCGGGUGGGGGAACUUAGGGUUUUAGGGUUUUGGGGGGUGGGCGAGCACCAUGCCGGUGAAUACGUAAGCACACACACAUACAUACAUACACACACACGUACACAUACACACACCCCGGUAACAUGGGCAAGUGUCCCUUGUGAACCUCGUGUCCAUCUGGAGACCGCGAGAGCAGCAGCACCCUCCCUCCCUCUCUCUCUACACACACACACACGCAUCCCCCGCAUCCCCCCCACUUACUCGCAUACCACUCGAUCUUGGUCAGGGUGUCAUUGGCUGAGCCGCAAGUGUUCUGCGGACAUACAGACAUAGCUUAGGGUUUUAGAAUUGUAAACGUGGCUUUAUGCUUAUGCCUCAAAGUGAAUUUAAUACUUUACAAAAAUUAUGCAAGAAGGGGGUCAGAGUCAAAGCCUUUGAUGGGAUGGAAGCUAUUGAAUGUGGCGAUAUGGAAGUCCGCCCCACUCCAUUCUCUUCGUCUCUCUCUCCCCCUCGCCCUGUGCCCCCCAGCCCUCCUCUCUCCCCCUCCUCGCCCCCUCCUCUCUCCCCCAGCUGCCUCCGAUGUGCUACUGCCGCUGUACGGCUCCCCCACCUCACCAGCCGACCUCCCGGCCCCCUGUGGGUGUUUUGAACGCGCGCGCCCGGGCCCAUAUCCACACACACAUACAGACAGACGUGCGCACGCAUCCUCACCGGCAUAAUCUGGCUGGGGGGAAUGGUGUUGACCGUGAAGCAGUACUCGGUGGUCGUGGCGGUGCGAUUACCCGUAGUAAAGCGAGGGGAGACGGUGAAAGGCAGGAUGCCCUGUGUCGUGUUGCAUCUGCGGGUGGGUGGGGAGCCCAGUUUGCGUUGGUUCCGGAGCUUCCGAAUGACAAUGAUAAUGCAAAUCCCCCGGGCUCCCGGCUUUCGAGCCCACAGUGUAAUCAACGUCAUGCAUACAUACAUAUAUACAUAUACAUACAUAUAUAUACAUACGUACGUACAUACAUGAUAACCUUACGUGCAAUUCGGGAAGGGUGUGAACGGCAAGUUGCAGCUGACAGAUGAGAGCAGCGGCAAGCAGAGGUUGCCGUCCGUCGUAACUUGUACGGUGUAACCCUCCAACUCGGCACUGCACACGUUGCCUCCGCUGGCGGCCUCGAUCCAGUACGACAGCAGCCCCUCAGCCGUCAACUUGAAGUCCUCAGCAUAAACGGAUGAAGCGAAGACGCCGCACAGCCGUACUCCAAACCCGGNNNNNNNNNNNNNNNNNNNNNNNNNNNNNNNNNNNNNNNNNNNNNNNNNNCCCGCCCGCCCGUUUCUGGCGCAGCCUCGCGUUAGUUCCGUUGCGGUGUCUCUUCUCCGUUCGUAAGGCCCGUCUUCUUCGGGUCUCUCAGUCCUUUUCUCUCUUUCAUUAUUUGUAACAGAAAAUGGCAUUUACCUAUGGAGCAACAACUAACAAGACCUUCCUUUUGCGACGUCGUACAUUAGUGCGGGUCGUACACUGGAUGGCUACAUCUUCUCUGGUGUAUCGCAUCCGGUGUCUUUUGACACCACCAUGACUGGUUGUGAGAAGCCUUAACGUAACAUUGGCAUCGAGACGGUGAAAUCUUUCUUUCUGGGAUUAUGCUUUUUCGGCCAUUUCUUUCAUUUUAUCGUCGGUCGGCUUUAUCUACCGUUCUUCAAACUUCUUCACCUCCUUUAUCUUCUCCAAGAAUGAAUACUGGAGCUUCGGCCGAUCCGGCGGUAAACGCCGUUACUUCGCCGCUGGCGGCCUUGGCGCUUGCACCGGCGCCUACGGUCGCUUCGCCUGAUCAGCCUUCUGGGUCACAACCUCGGGCUGUUCCUCUUCCUACUGCCGUGGAUCCGGCGCCGCUUCCGUCGCCGGUCAACGGUGAUGCUACAAUGUCCGAUUCACAGCCGGGCACUGUUACUCGGCGCCUGCACCCCCUCGAUCCUCCGCAGCCUGACAGACGUCGUCUUGUUUCAGUGGACGCUGCGGCUAAAGUGCAAUUGAGUUUGCCCGACUACCUUUCUUUCUUGGUCGACGAUUUGGUUGGCUACCUCGACUUGGCAGGCUACACUCUUUCUGAUUCAGCUGCCACCAAUUGGGUCGUCUUAAGCGUGGGUCCGGCGUCUCUCGUGACAGAUCUUCAUAAAUCGCUUUCCGUGUUGACGCCGCCGGUGAUUCCCAACGCUUCUUGGCUUCUGAACUGGUUCACUGAAGCCGUUGUCUUGUCAUCCGGCGCCUCAUCUUACAUUGCGCUUUGCCGUAUGUUCAACACCAAACCAGUGCGUUCUGUGGAGCAAGCGCUUCAACAUCUGCACAAUAUUCGUCGGGAGCUGCCGGCUGCGACUCCUGAGGAGCUUAUCGUUUAUCAUCUGGUUCGUCUUUUGCCUGACAGUUUACGCGAUCGUCUCAUGUAUGAUCGCACUGUUGAAAUCCGACGACCAUGGACCAGCUUGGACUGUUUUCUUCGCGUAUUGAAGACCUACACGGANNNNNNNNNNNNNNNNNNNNNNNNNNNNNNNNNNNNNNNNNNNNNNNNNNNNNNNNNNNNNNNNNNNNNNNNNNNNNNNNNNNNNNNNNNNNNNNNNNNNNNNNNNNNNNNNNNNNNNNNNNNNNNNNNNNNNNNNNNNNNNNNNNNNNNNNNNNNNNNNNNNNNNNNNNNNNNNNNNNNNNNNNNNNNNNNNNNNNNNNNNNNNNNNNNNNNNNNNNNNNNNNNNNNNNNNNNNNNNNNNNNNNNNNNNNNNNNNNNNNNNNNNNNNNNNNNNNNNNNNNNNNNNNNNNNNNNNNNNNNNNNNNNNNNNNNNNNNNNNNNNNNNNNNNNNNNNNNNNNNNNNNNNNNNNNNNNNNNNNNUNGUCUGCGAUGGCUUCUUUGGCUGUGCAGAAUAAUCGUGAUUUGUGUGUCGCAGAACCUGUUGUUUCUGGACCAUCUGUGGCUGUGUCGGUUGAGCCGACGCCUGCGGGCGCCCGCAGGCGUGCCUCAGCGGCAAGCGCACAAGUCUUUGGUGACUAUGUCGAGUGCGCCUGUGAAGUUGUCAAACACAAGUGAUCACGUUGUGAAUCGUUCUCAGUCGGAACUGAACACGGCUUUUAACGUACGUCUGGUUACAGAGCCUUCUCGCUAUUGUAUACAAAGACGAACAGUUCAAUGCCGGUUGCAGAUGUCCCUCCGCCUCAAGAACUUUGCAUUCGCAAGCACGAAUUUCAGCACUUGCAGCAGCUUUCCGGUCGUCACUUCACUUGGGAUGCUUGCGCAUCUAACGAUGGGUCUAAUGCCUUGUGUCCGAAGUAUAGUUCGCCUUCUCGCAGCUUUUUGCAUGAUAGCUGCACAGGACAUCACGUUUGGAUGCAUCCGCCUUGGGCUCGUAUUCAAGAUUUCUUGCGUCACUACCUGCGUUGCAAGUCGAUUGCGCCAUCGACCAUGUCUGGAGGAUUUUUGCUUCCUAAGUGGGUUACAGCGCGUUGGCGUCCUUUGCUUGCAGGCAUGAAAAAGCUUCAUGAAUACCAUGCGGGGUAUCACCUGUUUUCCGUGUCGUCGGGGUAACAUGUCUCGCGUGCAAUCAGCUUUCUCGCCAAUGGAGUUCUGGUAUGAUGCUCCUGUCGAGUCUCCUUNNNNNNNNNNNNNNNNNNNNNNNNNNNNNNNNNNNNNNNNNNNNNNNNNNAUCUGCCGAUGGCUGAGUUCGCCAUGAACAAUUCGUUGCAUGAGUCUACGCGAACUACUCCUUUUCGGUUGAUGUACGGAUAUGAACCCCUAACUCCGGCUUCUCACCUGGUUCGCAAAUUGGGGGAGGAGAGGGCCAAGACGCGCUUGCAAAGCGUGGCCAAACUGUCUAAUCCGUUAUCUGUUAAAUUCAGUACGGAUAUGCAGAAUGCUUUGGAACGAGCUAAGUCUUGCUUGGCUGCUGCUCGAGAUCGGAUGAAGAAAUGGGCUGACAAAGGUCGCUCGGAACGAGGACUUUCUGUUGGUGAUCGUGUACUCUUGAGUACGAAACACAUGACUAUUAAAGGUGUGCGCAAAUUGCUGCCUCGCUUUAUCGGACCCUUUGUGGUUAAGGAAAAGAUCAACGCGGUUGUGUAUCGGUUGGAUCUUCCUCCUGCGGUGCGGAUACAUGAUGUAUUUCAUGUGUCACUCCUUCGUCCGUAUCACGAUGGUGAUCGCGUUCAGCUACCUCCGCCACCUCAGAUUGUUGAGGGUGAAUUGGAGUUCGAAGUUGAGUCCAUUUUGCUUCACAAAGAAGUGAAAGAAGGACGUCGACAAAAGCGUUUCUACCUAAUGCGUUGGAAAGGUCAGGGCCCGGAAUUUGAUUCGUGGGAACCCGAAACGAACCUAACUAACUGCGGUGAUUUGUUGCGCGACUACUGGGCACGUCAAUCUGAUUCAGUUCCAACCUCGAAGUCCCAAGGUCAGGCGACACUUUCGGGUGACGCUGACGCUUCUGGCUCGAAGCCGCAUCGAGCUCCUCAGACUACUCGUCACGGCCGUGUGAUCAAAAAGCCUUCGCGCUUUAAUGCUUUUCUCAACCACUUGUCUGUCACCAGUGGGGUUCCGGAAGCCCUGCUUUUUCCUCUCGUGUGGCGGUGAAGCCAAGGUUGGCUGGCUGUCGGGACGACCAGCCAUUUAGGGGGGGAAUGAUGUAACGUGCAAGAGCAGUUACAUAACUCUCAAUGCUUCUCUUCAACGGGGUUCACGUAGCUAUUCUCAAGACCUUCCUUUUGCGACGUCGUACAUUAGUGCGGGUCGUACACUGGAUGGCUACAUCUUCUCUGGUGUAUCGCAUCCGGUGUCUUUUGACACCACCAUGACUGGUUGUGAUAAGCCUUAACGUAACAGUAGCGCUUUCGCAACCGAUGCAAGGGCUGCUGAGCUCCGAGGUCCAACUACUGUUUAAGAUCUAUAGUUGUGAGCCUCCUUUCUGCUGACCGCUCGUUCGUGCGUUGCGGUGUUGGAUGCGAGAGUGCUGAAGCACAACAAGGUCUGAAGGACGGCUACACGCUGUAUGCUGAGGCAGGGUUUACGUUUGACCGAAGUUUAAGAGAGGUCAAGUUCUUGGGCUCAGUUCAGCAAUGUGCAAAUGUCGCCCGCAAUGGGGACGGCGUCAGUCCCAAAAAAAAUUGCGGAUUUCUGAACCUCAACACCUUUGAUGCGUAUUAUGGCUGCUUGCAUAACAAAUUGCGGGAUGCGAGGCGAAGUGCAUUCUUACGUACUUCUGAAGUCGCAAGUCGCAAGUUGCCAACUAACUCCAGGGUGGGGCUCACUCCCGCCCGGCCGUCAGGGUGAUGGAUUCAGCCCCCGGGCGGGGUACCGAUUGCCGGAACUUCGGAGGUUUCGGAGCGGAAAGUGAGUCUCUGGUCUAAGCGUGCAUCUCUACUGUCAAUUUGUCAAGCAGCAGCUUGGAUGUGGUCGCUGGUCUGAAGGAGGAGGGUCAUACGUAUGAUGUUAACAGUAACUGUGGUAUAGAGCUACUAAUUGGCGAAAUGGAACUGGCGUCCUCGCCCCCCACAGAAAGCGGGGCUUGCCGAAUGGAGACCAUGUCUAAGUAGAUCUGGACCCUGAGUGCUGCUGGCAUUUGCUUCAAUUGUGUAGGAGGCCACAAGGUCGCCAGAGCGUGCUCACAGUGAACCUGUACUGCGGCUGCGAAAAAGUUUCCGAUUUUUAGCCUUGUUGCGAAAUCUCGCGAAGCCCCCGGUAUAAUCUCGAAAACCUCGAAAUGCUGCAAUUUGUUAUGUCUAUGGCGAAUGUCAUAAAUGGACCUUAAACGCCUCAGGUCACACAGGAAGAGAAUUGCAUCCUUUGUGACCUAUAUGUCUUUUGCUUGCAAGGGUUGCAACUUGUAUUCGUGGGAGGGGGCUACAAAGGUUUAGGGAAGUGUCACGAUAUUAUGCUUGGGCGUGGUCUGGCUCCUGCAUGGUAUCCUGGUUGAUUUUGCGAAUUGCAUCACAUACAGCUUCACUGCUAAGCAGAAGCCACGAUAAGUUUUACGUAGAUGGUUUUACCCAGGACCGGUACUUGUUGCAAUUGGUCCGCAGGAAACACUUUCCUAGUUUCUUUCUAGCAAUUUCCCUGCCCUGCAUUAGCUCACUUCGCGCACUUUCGUGUGGCUUCCAGAGAUGCAUUGCACCCUCCGGUUCCCGAAGCUCCUCCGCACCGAUAAUCGGGUUUCAUCUGCUUCACCAUCGAAUCCAUCUCGAUGUCAGCUGGCGCCUCUGUCGUUUCUGGCAGGGCAUCUUACGUGCUCCUUUCGAAGCAUGUCAGCCCUGGAUGUCUGAUGGUUGUGGUUUUGGGGGCGGUUGCUGCGGCGGAGUGGAACAAUGAACUAAACAGCGACGGGCGAUGUGUUCUCAACGCGGUCAAGGGUGGUGGAUCAGGGUUCGACACUGACCUUCCUGAAACUUGCGGGCUCCCCCGUACCUCCCGAAUUUUCCUUACGGAGGGGCCCCCGUACCAGGCUCCUGUACCAGCCGAAAACCUUACAGGGCACCCUGUAACCCCCGCAAAACCUUUAGGGGGGCACUGUCCUUGGAUAAAACGCUGUGGAAAGUGACGCUUUGCAUUUUUUUGCCCUAUAAAUCGUUAUUUUCUCGUGAACCAUUACACUCGGGGACACGGCACACUCAGCGAAAGNNNNNNNNNNNNNNNNNNNNNNNNNNNNNNNNNNNNNNNNNNNNNNNNNNGGCGGUGGUGGCGGUGGUGGCGGCGGCGGCGGCGGCAACGGCGGCGACGGUGACGGCGGCGGCGGCGGUGGUGACGGCGGUGGCGGUGACGGCGGCAACGGCGGUGGUGGCGGCGGUGAAGGUGGUGGCGGAUUGUAACCAAUAACCGUCGACACGGGGCAGCACUGACACGGCGUGUCGUACAAUGCCGCCGUACAUGUUCCUUUCAUGGCGCCUGGCUGCGUCGCGCACAUCUGGUCCAGCGUGGUGCAGCCCUUGCCUUGGCGGUUGGCCUUGAGUGUGAGGCACAGCUCCGCGUCCGCGGCGGUUGCGAGUGUGAGAUCUAGGCGGGUAAGACGCAGGAUUGCUGUACCCGCGCGGCCGUUGAUGGGCCUGUCGUACGCGGCACCCACAGUCGUCGGGCGGCCGUUAAUAGUGGCCUUGACCUCCGCUGCCGGAGUGACGAGGCAGCUGUCGGAAACAUUGAACUGGGAGAAAAAGGGGGAGGGGGGAGAGUGUUUUAAACGUGCGGGACAAAGGCUCUGGGAUUUUAGGAAAUGAAAGCAGUUCAGGAGGAGGGGGAGGAGAUAGAGCUAUCGGGGGAAGAAAUGAUAAAGGGCGGAUGGCCGGACGAGGACAGAGUGGAUGGGGGCUUGACCCCAAGGAAAGCAGGUGGGAGGACAGGCAGAGCUAGUCCAUGUCCGACGGCCUUUGACGGACACGCUAGCAAUCGUGCGGAACUUGUGACUUGUGACUUGUGUGUGUUUGUUUGUUUGUGUGUGUUUGUGUGUGCAGCAGCAAGGCAGUGGGUAAGCCUCAAAUAAGGAUUGGAUCCAAGUCCUCUUGGAUUUCGGAACCGGACUGGACUGUGAAUACUGAAUUGAUACAACGUAAAUAAGUUAUACUCAACGAGAUGAGGAAACAGGAUAAUAAUCUUGAUUCAUUUCGCGAAUGAAAACGCGGUUGACACCAUAUAUCAUUUUGCACAGAUUGGCAGGGCAUUGUCAGCAAGGCUUCAAAAGAGAUGCGAAAGUCAUAUGCAAAUAUCCACUUGUGUGAAUUCGUCGGGUCGUGUCCAAAAGAUUUGAUUUGCUUAGCACUAAGGAGUCACGCGAAUGUUGCCAAUCUUUGUGCUGCCAUAGCGCAAUACUAAGAAAUCGGAGAUUUCCAAUCCUACCUCAAUCUUGAAAAGGUCGGUGGAGCAGCAUGCGUUGUUGCAGCCUUGAGUUUGGACUUUGAUGGUAAAGCAGUACUUGCCGCCACCGUACAUUUUCACUUCGGGCGCCAGGCGAUACGCGCCGAUUUUUGACGCGCACUCUCGGAAAGGAAACGCUGGAAGGAGCCCGGUCUGGUCACGAAGCGCAAUAUCGUAGUCAUUCCCCGAAUCAUAGUACUGCGCAUAUGCAGCAGUCGACCUGCAAGCGCACGCGAAUCAAAUGUCAGGAUUUUAUAGAGAUAUAUUUUAAUGCACAAGUUCUGCAAAGAGGUCCAAGGUAUGUAGCGCAAGCCAUCCCGACGCUGCAAAUGUUCGUUAUGGCCGGCGAGCUACCGGCGAUGGCUAGGGUGCCGUUGCACAAGAAACAGAUCUUAAAUUUAGAUGAUAAGCUCUACACUCAAUGUUCAAAAUAUUGCAAAAUUCAUGUUGCUAUGCGGAAAGAAGGCUUCUAAUAAGUCGUAUACACCGCUGUACCUUAGCCCUGCCUGCCUACCCACCAGACAACGGCCAGAGCGGCCACAAGCAAACUCCUCGAUAUACGCGCCAUGGCUGUGAGAGAGCUCACGCUGUGAAGAAAACUGUCUGAACUACCGCCUAUUUAUGGAAGCGGCGUUGUGCGGCGGCACCAUCGGCUCAUCAGUUGACGUACCGCUUCCCUCAUGCAUCCGCGCGUUUGCGGUGGGCGCGCCAGGAGCAGAUUCAGCAGAGUUCAGGUUCCUCCCCGAAUCCCCAAGACUGUUGCAAGGCAGUAAAGACAGAAGCAAUUCAUUGUCAUGUCCGUAGCGGAUGAGAAACAAAAAGAGGUUUUUGGACGGCGUUCGUUAAUACACAUCAUCUGCCUCCCUGCCUCCCUGCCUGCGCCUCUCUCUCCACAACACCUAUGGAGAGAGGUCCGACGCCUUCAUGCACUUCGGCCAUAACUGUCGCAGAAAAUGGAAAUAACCCGGAACAAAGCCCUGAUACGCAUUUCGGUGUGGUGUCAGUUGACAUGGCAGGGUCAGCAGCGAGUUCACAACACAAUAUCGUCUGGAUAAUAUUAUCAUGUGGGCUUUUUUCAGCGCGGUCGACCGCCCUCGGGGACGGAUGUUGCGCAGGCUACGUGCGGCCUGCUACCGCUAUCGCUACCGCUACUGCUGUUUUUGCAUCGCCGACGCGACGGCCAGUCCACCGAGUGCUAUCUACUCGCUUUCCACCUCCCUGCAGCAGGACGUGCAAAUUAUAUAAACCGGUUGCACCACCCGUUGCGGGCUGGCGUUCCAGGACUUGUAAAUAAAGCCAGCGGGUGGCCGAGUCAUCUGUACAUUAGUAUUAGAAUUAAUAGAAGCAGCAGUAUUAGUGGUAGUAGUGCCUCAACCCUUACCCACCCCUUGUUUUUUAAACAACAUCGGGUCUCGCUCGCCAGGGGCUGCUGCCCACCAUGCCAUGUCCUCCCAACCGCCCUUCGUCGUCGACGUCCACUGGACCAUAAAAUGGAUUUCACAGAGGCUGCUAGAGUAGCUUCUUAAGCUGCCUUUCGGUCCAUGCUUCCACUACAGUGUGUUGAUAUAGUCAGUCCUUCGUGCCCCAACCCCGUGGCAUAUAUAACCUGUUAUUGUUCAGUCCUUCGGGGCCAUAUGGUGGUGUGUAUAUGUGGUGUGAGAGCAGUAAUGGUUACCUGCACUUUGGGGCUUCCGCUGCGUCGACUUAGUCAACAGGACGACAGCAUAUUCUUGUGCUGGCAUAGAGCAAGGCACAGCCCUGGGAAUCUGCGCGCAGAUGAAGGAAUAAAUAUUCUGUUGAUUCUUAAAUAUUUUUGGGAUGCGUUCCAGGCAACGGAUGUGAGAGGCUCAGCUACUUUCCAGAGGUUGGAUUGUUCGCGUUCGGUUUUACAGGUACGUGAUAUACAGUUACACAUGCACACAUACAAGGGCUGUAAGCGGACGCACGGAAGCUAGAGUUCCAAGGUUGACUGAAUGAGAGCAUGCAGCGAGUUGAGUAGACGUGACUUGUGCAGAGGGUAUAUUGUCCGCGCCUGUCGAGUUCAGCGCCGAUAGCUCUUAACUUUGCCUUUCGCCUUGCAAAAUUGGAAUUCCUCGAACCCACCAAAGAAGCUUACAAUUAGAACCCACGCCAAACUUCAUCUUCCGUCGAUUCGUGAUGCUCCUACUAUGACAUUGCUCUCAUGCUAUGUGCCAGCAGUGGUGGAGGAUGUGCUGUUGCAAAGGCCGAUUCUCUUGCAAGUUCUGGGAUGCAGCUGAACAGAUAUUGCGUACGACUAGGCUAUAAUAAAAUGAUAUUUUAGUUUAUGAGGUAGUGAUUAUCAGACGACUCGCGCGUGAGGACGCCUGAUGGCGAGCACAAUAUGCCAGAGAUGUUAAGAAUUUUUGCCAAGGCGGUCUCCUCCAAGACGUAAGACUUAAACUAUAUGUAAACUCAGCUUGAGAUCUUUAUGAUUGCUGGAAUAUUGGCCUUGUAAUUGAUAUGAUAGGCGAAAAGUGGCGUUGAGACGUUUGGAGUCCUCCAAACCUUUGCAGCGGAAUCCUCGAUUCGCUUUAUCAAAUGUGACAACUGAUUCAUAAUCUACUGCUUGGUGCAACAUGUGGAGUUUAUGUCGGUUUGCAGCAGGUUUUGCCGAUCGAUGAAGCGAAGGGCCUUGGGAAGAGCCUCCCGGCUCCUAAGACGCCGUUUCGAGAGCAGGAGAUUUGCCGUAUAAAAACAAGAAUAAUAUAAAUUUGAUUUUGAACAGAAGCUGUCACAUUUCAAGGUACAAGACAGGGUAAGUCAUCUACGACUUACAGCACUUACAGGCUCGCUACGUAGGACAAAACACCCAGGAUUCUUUGAUCGCGCAUGAAAUGCAAGACAUUUGAACGGUUUUCGGUCUUGAACACAGAAUUCGCACGCGUCGGUCGUGCUUCUGCGCCAGUCAUGGGUACGUCCUUGCAAGGCCAAUUCCAUGGCCUUCGUGCUUUCCGCAAUGUUACAUUACAUGGCAUAUAGUUUUGUGGCCUUUGCAUGCGGGGUUAUUGACACCUCCUGGGAGUAGCGCGAAGGGUUAACGCCUAAUCCUGACUGAAUCCGUGGUGUUUAAGUCUUUGAGUCUCGCUUAAAACAGAGAGAUGAUCCAGCUACGAAAAAGGUAGGAUUGCACACUUCCCUGGUCUCAAGUGGGGUAAAUCAAAAGUGUAAACAAACACUAAAUACAAAGGAUGACCUGUUGCGAAUGAAGCUGUGCUCUGUUUGGAGGGAUGAUAUGUGCAAUCUUUUUACCACGAUAUAAAUAACAAAUUAUUGUUACUUGUGGCGCCAGAGCGGAACAAGUUCCUACCGUAUUAACGUACCGCCGUAUCCUUUUUGUUUGUCCAGAACCAGUAAGAUGAGGCCAGUUGCAAUAACAGGAAUGUUCUCAUUUCAUCUUCUGUUUCCAGGCAUUCCUCGUAAACUUAGUACCUUGAGGAAAUUUCGUGCGGGGCACGUAUUCCGCAUUGCGCUCCAUUUGUGGUGUACAGAAUAUUAGAUAAAUUAUCGAAUCUCAGCCGACGCAACUCCGUCGCCAUACCUUGGUUGCGCAAUUUCCAAGGCUGCAGCGGUCAAUGCUAUUACUGACUAUCCCCACAGCCAGGACUGGGUCGGCAACAAACUAAAAGGAAAUAUAUCAGCUUAACAUGUGCAUCACGCGGGAUGUAGGUACUUCAGUGGCUACGCACUUACUAAUGGCUUGUAGCGGCGCAUUGUCACUCCGGGCACUGAUAUACCGCCUUUUGUGAAUGCUCUGGGGCAGCAUUAUAUGGCAUUAUUAUAAUUACACAGCUACCCGCGAUGCGCAUACGUGGUCGCUGGGACAAAUCCAUUGAAUUUCACGUCUACGCGUAUAAAGAGCAAACACUCCAUGACCGCAAAAUGCAGUACCAUGCGAGGUAGGCUUUACCGAUGAUGCAGUGACAGGCGAAUGGAAGUACUCAUCUCACAUCAGCAGCGCAUGGCAGUCUUGGCUGGGACGUACUAACCUGCCUUCUUCACCACUGCAAGGAAGGAGAAGGUACAAAAGGCGUACUUCAGCCUUCCCUCCCCCUCACAGCUCACUCAGUGGCCGCAGAAGCCACAGCGCGAAAGUGGGGGAUGAGCACAAUGCCUCCCCUGCGUUCCCCCAGUCGUUAAUGCAGUCAUUCGCUUAUCAAGUUACCAUUAGUUUAGGCAGGAUGACGGAUGUGCGCUACCUUUGCGUCUGGUCUGUGUCGCUGUGCGCUACGGUACCUUUUAACUCGGUGUAAUUCGGCGGGAUGAUAGGUAUGGUGAUCUUGGUGUCGCCUGCAGCUCUCGCCUGCAGCACCACCUGUAAUCUUUAAGCCCCAAUCCCCCACAUCCCGUAGCAGCCAGCUACCUCUUGGUUCGUGUUUCUCCGCCUCUCCGUGCCUCUCCUAUCAGUCGAUCUACUCGUCUGUCUCUCCUCGCCACUGCCCACGGCUGCGCAAGCUAUUGCUUCCCGUGCCGGGUGAUGGAAAGUGCCAAACAUAAAAUCACCCCAUGUGUGUGUGUAUGUGUGUGUGCAUGUUUACCCCAAUGUGUGUGGAGUUCUUGAGCUGAGCUCUUGGCUGUGAUGUCUGCUUGCCGCUAGCGUCUAGGCGCCGGUAAAGGGCGCAUCCGCCAGUGAAACCCGCCUGGACGGUCAGACGCUGUUCUGCACCGGAAAAACUGCAGCCGCAGCCGCAGCCGCAGUAGGGCGGACCUCAACGACGCCGUCUCGGGAGAGAGUGGAGGAAGAAGUGGAGGAGGAAGUGGAAGAAAGCGGAGGAGGAGGAAAAGAAGAAAGCCCUCAAGAUAAUUGCUCUUGACCGUACGGCACGCAAUGCCUAUGCAGGACGGAAGAAGCCAAACAAAAAAAAAUAAAGAGCAAACAACGAAAACACACGGGGUCGCACGCACACGAAGUCGCAUGAAAUGCAGCUGUCAGUUACUUGUGUUGUGGGUCACAAACCAACACACACACACACACACACACACACACGCACACACACACACAUUCACACACACACGCACAUCAACAAAUGCAUAUGUAAUUUACAUGUCGCGCAACCCGCAUCGAAGCUGGGGGGGAUUCAAUGACGAUCAACAGUCUGACUGCCACCUGCCCCUACUGCCACCUGCCCGUACUGCCCACACCCUGCUAAGAGGCAUGUGACCACGACAACCCUCUGAACCAUCCCCCCUCCUUACAUACAAUUAGCAUCAGAGACCCCACGCAGCACCACCAAUAGUUCGCUCCGCCACAACAACAACAACAACAACAACACACAAACAAAAAAAACACUCUUUUUGUUCAGCAGUCCAACAAAAGCUGUGUUUGCGUGUGCGGUACUGUUUCAUCACCCAGGGUGCCCUGGGGGGGCGGCCGGCCCCCCCCCUUCCUCUCCUUCUGCGCGACCCAAAUCGCAAGCCGCAACCUAAUGCCAAAGUUGGCCCCCGGUUCAAAGCUCUCCCCGGCCGCACACAGCACAGCGGCUGUUUGGCGUAUCGUAGGUCUGGGUUCGACCGGAUUGGAUUCAGAAAUUAUCAAGAUCUGGACCGCCGUACUUGCUGCAGUACACACUGAGUACUAAGCAUCGGAGGACACCCCCUUCCGAUCCGUGCAACCUCUCACCUAACGUGCAACAGCUCAUUCUACCAGCCCCAAGGGGGGGGGUCUAUCUCAUGCUACAUCGCGGACAUCCCCAACCUCCUGACACCACCUUCAUCCCCACCCCCAACCCCACCCCGAACCCCACCCCCACAUACAUAACGCACAUACAUACGCACGUAACACACAUGCACAUGCACGUGCGUGGAAAGAACACCGCUUAGCAGAACCACCUUCACUGCUCAUGUACUUCCAUGCAGCCAUCAUGUUUAUCGUGUGUUUUAUAGGUCCCAAAUCAUUGCAGCCAUCAUGCAACCUACCUCUUGCGAGGCGAACAAACAAACGAACGAACGAACAAACCCCCCCCACACAGCCACCUGCCCAGUCACACGUAUGUACGCGUGUAUGUAUGUGCGUCUAGCUAGCGCUCUCUAUCCCUCUCCCCCCCCCUCGCUCUCCCAUCUCCUCCUCCUUCACACCCCUCACCCCUUUUUCCUCAUCACCCCAGCACCCCCCCAACUACUCAUUCCCAGAUACACCCGACCACCCUACACACCGCUACAACGUGCAGCAGCCGGAUGGCACCCCGCUGCUGAAAGGGGCCCGGAAGGAUACACUUAGGCGGAGAACGUCCAAAGCGGCGAACCGCAUCUGGGGGGGGCCCGUUGGCGUUGGUGGUUGGUAGUUGGUGGUUAGAGGUGGGGGGGAACCAGACCUUCCCCAGGAGCUGCUUUCCAACGGUCCCCUCACCCACCCACCCACCGCACCUGCACCUGCACCUGCACCACAGCACAGCAACAGCAAUCCCAGCGGGAGCAUGUAGGAGCCGGGGGUGUGAUUUGGCGGUGUCUUGAGGAGGGUGAGCCCACCAACACGAGGCGAGUAGUACUAACAACAAACAGUACAUAACGCACUCUCCAAAUACAUUACGCCACUGCUGCCCCCCACCCCCCACUCCGCUACCAUCGCUACCACCUUCCCCUACUGCUGCUGCUACUGCUGGCACUUCACCCUUCCCCCCUCCGUUCCUCGAUGAAUGACUGUUCUUUAUUGUUGUUGUGGUGGUACGGAGGCUGUGAGCAUCUCCACCACAAUGGUGCGCUCCCAGUACUGGGCCAAGUCCAGGGGGGUGCGCCCGUCCUGUGUGUAGCAGAGGGGGGGGUAAGGGGGUGGUGGGUGGGAGAGGAGGGGUGGGAAAGGAGGGGAAAGACGAACCACGAACGAUUAAAGCUGCUGCCAAAGAAAGAGGUGGGGUGGAAGAGGAGGGGUGGGAGAGGAGGGGUGGGGAGUACUAUAUGCGGCCGAACUACUGUCGAGGCUGCGGGGGGCGGGGGGCUGAGGGAAGGAUGAAGGAAGGAUGAGGGAUAGAGGGCGUGAGAUGUAGUUUCGAUCCAUCUGUACUUCCGUUCCCCUAACUCACCCUCGGAAAUCACGUACAUACAUAAGUAACAACUACACACACACGACACCCCAGCCAAGGAGGAGGGAGGAGGAGAGGAGAAGAAUUUGAGUCGCGCGUUCACACACACACACACACACACACACACACAUACACGCUAGCAUUCCUUUUUCCCCCCAUACCCGUAAACACCUCCCUCACACACACACAUAGACACACAUACACCCUUCCCUCCCAUCCCCCAUCCAUACACACACCCGUAUUCGUGCCUCCUUAUCCGCCCCCGCCCGCAGCAAUACCGCCACCACGUCCUGCCGCCCGUCCUUAGCCGCCACAUGGAGUGACGUCCAGCCGUCCUGAAGAUGUGAAUGCGGAAAUGCAGAAGUGAAGAGACGGCUACACGUACGCACAUCAUGUCUAAAUAUGAAAGGGGGGGUGAAAUGAAGGGCGGUGGUCAAAGCAUCAGCUGCUCCGCAGCAUCCACGUGGAUGGAUCCACUGUGUUGCCACGUGUGCACGGCAUCCCCAAACACAGUCCAGGGGACGAAAGUCGAAGCGUUGCUGACAGCGUUGUUGCUGUCCAAGAAACCAGCUCUCGAAACCGACUCAGGCAAAUAAACUGUACAUGGUGAGUACCACACAUUUGCCUGUAGUCACUGUGUUAGGGUGGGUGGUCAUCAACCCCCCCCCCCGGCCGGAGCUGGGGGAGCCGAUAGCCCCCUACCUACACCGCCGGGGGCUAUAACCCCUUGGGACUGCUGGUGACCACAAGGUGAGUUCUGUCGGGAGGCUUGCAUUCUGGCAUGUUCUGGGGUUUGGGGCCACAACGGACUGCACUGCACUGCACUGCACUGCACUGCACUGGAAAGGAAAGGAAAAACCCAGAAGAUGAAAACACACACACCAACACAUACACACACCCACACACCCCUAUGGGGAUGGCACAUGAUGUGAUAUGGAUUGAGAGCCACUGCGCGAGAGGGUGGGUGAUGGCCGGCACGGGCUGGUAUAUGUGGUGUACAUGGUGGUGUAAACACAUGCCUUGCAAGGCGCUCCACCAGCACCAGGGCAUAGUGAAAGGACUUUUCAGCAGCCGCAGCCAGCUGCUACGACAUUUUAUUACUACCUUUCCAUCCUCAACAUCCCCCAUACAUCAAAAUGGUGCUGUAUUGUAUGGUAAAUCGUAGAAAUGACAAUGUGUUCAAAUGGCCCAGAAGCCUCCGACUCUGUAACAAUUCAAAUUUAAAUAUCAAAAAGCUUGUAUCAAGCUGAUACACUACUUUACAACUAUUUUUUUCAUUUUCACAAAUUAAACACUUUCCUAAACCUGCCUGCGCCAGUGUCUGUCUUAUCACUCGUUCCAUUCCUGCCACUUGCCUCCCCAGUUUUAUCAAUGCAGCACACACUGGAGGUACCGAGGGCGACAAUGUUACCAGGUGAUGAGACCAGAACACGACUGUUCCGGACUUUGGACGCCUUCCGACAGUUCAGUUCAGUUCAGUUCUGGUUUCCUUGCCUUUAUGAUUUCUCCCCCACCGCCACACACACACACACACACUCCCUCCACCCCUCCAUCCAUCCACCUUACCCCUUAUACCCAUUUUCAAUCCCCUCACAUCCCACCCCAAACCCCUUCCCCUCACCCCAAAUUCCCCCCCACCGCACAUGCACACACAGACAUACAUACAGACAUUCCUCCACUGCUCACCAUGUCCUUGGCCUCCUUAUCCGCCCCGGCUCGCAGUAACGCCUCCACCACCCCGGCAUGGCCCUCAUAAGUGGCCAGGAGUAGCGGGGUGUUGCCGUCCUUGGGGGGGAGGGGGGAAAAGAGGGAAAGGGGGGAGAUGGGAUAUGAAUGUGUAUAGGGGGAUGUACAUGUCGAAGGUGCGUUGUCUGUCUGUUUGUCAUAAGGAGCGCACGGAGGGGGGUUGAGGGAGGAAGGGGGUUUAAACAAAAUUACACGAAGCAAAACAUGUGACGGGCGUGACCCAGAUGGGAUGACAACCAUGUCUGCGUGUAUGUAUGUAUGUACGCGUGCGUGCAGGGAAGAGAGGGAGGAGGGAGGAGGGGUUGUGCUACAGGGGGGCGGGAGAACACGUCGUAGAGUGGAGGUGGAGAAAGACGCGUGACGGAGGGGAAGAAAAGACGAACCACGAGCGAGUGAAGCUGCUGCCAGGAACGGCGGGGAAGGUAAGGCCCAGGCACGUGUGAGGCUAGUGUUUUCUAAGUGAGGGGUGUUGAUGGGUCUUUGCAGAGCGAGGGGGCAGCCAGAACAGAUAAACACAACUCCUUUCAUAACUCCAACCUCUCCUGUCUGGCUGGCCAGCUAAUUGCCAGCCUUGUCUUUUGCCGUGGGUGAAUAUAGGGCCCCCCCUUUCCCCGUCACAAUCCCAAUCCCAAUCCGUUUCCAACCCACCGACCACGUGCCCUGCCCCACCAUCCCCAACACAUCGCCGCAUCCCGCACCCCCCAUCCCUCUCACCGCCGCUCGCGCCUCUUUAUCCGCCCCCGCCGCGAGCAGCACCUCCACCGCCCCCGUGUGGCCAUGUAGACUGGCCACGAGGAGGGGGGUGCGGCCGUCCUGCGGGAGGGGGAGGGGGGGGAGAGGGGGGAAAGACGAACCACGAACGAGUGAAGCCGCUGCCAAGAAAAGAGUGCUGCGGAGGGGGAGGAGGAGGGGGAAAGACGAACCACACACGAUUGAAGCUGCUGCCAGGGCAAGAGAGUAGCAAACGUAAAAACUGACCGAAAGGCGUCCAUGGCGACUGUGACGACUGUGACCUCGGGAGGAGGAGGGGGAGGGGGAGGGGGGAAUCACGUACCAAUGCAGUGCAAGUACAUGAACCUUACUGUUGCACAUACAUGCACACAUACAUAUGAACGCAGAAAUACGCACAUACAUACGCACGCACAUACGCCCUAUUGCACAAGCAUACACACGUACGCACAUCCUCCACUCACCUCAUUUUUUGAUUCCACGUCAGCCCCAAGUUGGGCCAGCCUCUCCACAACGGGGGUUUGACCGUUCUGGGCUGCAAGGUGGAGCGGAGUGAAGCCAGACUGCCGUACACAGCCGUACCAACAUGCAUAUGAGGGAUGUGGGAAACGGGUAUUCGGACGGGAGGAGUUGCGGGGUGGGCGGGUGUGGCGAAGGGGUGAAGUAGGACGCGUACGGGGCCGGGGGGUAAAGGUGGUACGAAGGUGUGUACGGCUGAAAAACACACCACACGACGACAACAAUAUAAAGAAGCAUUAAUCAGGAGGUCAAGGCAAUAACGAGAUGCAAUAUACUAACUAUUAUAAGUACGUGAUUGCCGCCAUUCACACCAUCAUCAACGGCUUCUAGAACCUUCCAGAGGUGAUCUCCUCAGUUCACCCGGCGGCUCCUGGUGUUGUGGGGGGGAACAGACCCCCUCUGCCUGAAAAGCGUACAGGGCUUGGGGACAGGCACGUCCCUCCUCCUCCUCCCCCUCGACCCCCUCUGCCUUCUCGGCCCUGUAGCCCCUGGCCCCCCUCUCCCCUUCCCCCCCACCCCCACACCCCACACACCCCACCUCGUUCUUGGCCUCUAAAUUGGCCCCUCCCUUGACCAGCGCUUCCCCUGCCGCCGUACGGCCCUCCUUGGCCGCCAGGUGCAGCGGCGUGCAGCCGGUCUGUGGGGGCGAGGUAAGGCCCCGGGGGGAAGAGGGUGGGGUAAGAUUGGGUUACGGCGCUGGGAAACACCAUACGUGUGAAAGACAUACAUACAUACAUGCAUAAAUUCACCGCUGGCGAAACUUAAGAGCAUCGAAGCACGUGAUCGGGGCAUGAUGAGGUGGCGGUUGUGUAUGUAUGUGUAUGACGUGUGGGACAGGGGGGUGUAUCUUCACCCUGCGGCAGCUACCCUGCGAAACCCUGCCUUCCCCGGUAUUUCGGGGCACACUCAUCCAAUCACCCUAGCCAGCUUCUCAGUGAAUUGCUCAGGUUCCGCACCCACCACCGGAAUCAUCCAACGGAAUCUGCCGGACUAACGGCGGCUCUAAUCUCUUCCUGGUCAGCUCGCGAGUCAACUUUAUCCCAGGUCCCACCGUCCAUCGACUAGGGGCACUUUUACCUUCCACCAUCGGAAGGAUUUUCGACCCUGACAGGUCUCGAUCCCGGAACCUCCGGGGGCAUUAAUGUGUGCUUUACCAGUAGUGCCUGACCUAUGCAUGUAUUUAUAUGUGUGUAUAGGGGGGAAGGAGGCCCGCAGCGCUCUAGGGAGGAUGGUUAGGUGUGAGGGUACUACAUCACACAGGUUACAGCGGAGGGGAAGUACUGCAUGCGGCCACGCACGUCGACAAGGGAAUCAAACCGAUCUGCCGACACGGCCAAAGUCGGUUGCUGCAAAACUUUCUUCUAUUGGAGUCCAAACCCACGACGACGACGAUGCGACUGCUCUUCUGUGAAUUCCACUACCGACAUUUUUGGGGCGUCGUAAAGGAGAGGAAAGGUUACGGGGUGAGCGGGGGGAAAUGCGGAGAUUGCGAUUCUUAUUUUAGAGGGGAAGAGGAGGAAGGAGAGAGAGAGAAAAAGAGGGAGAGGGAGAAAGAGAGAGAGAGAGAAAAAGAGGGAGAGGGAGAGAGAGAGAAGGGGGAAGAGAGGGAGGGAGCAGACGCAAACCCACACUGACACGACACUGACCACCCCAUCCACCUGACCUCUUUCUCCCUGCCUCUCCCCCUCCCCCCUCCCCACCACCACACACACCUUCGCCCCAUCCUGCGCGAAGACUCCUCCUUCACAAGUCGCGACUGGUUCGCUACUUUAUACACGUACUUCUGGCCUAUCAGUGUAUCCUUGGCACCAUCGUACACUCUUUCAUGGUUAGUCUUCCCCCAACCCUCUCCCUUCCCCAGUCCCCCGCCCUCACCUACCUUGUCCACCGCCUCCUUAUCUGCCCCCGCCCCCACCAGCACCUCCACCAGCUCUGUGAAGCCGCCUAAAGCAGCCCCAUGAAGGGGAGUACGACCAUCCUGAAUGCGGGGGGAGGGGGUAACGGGGGGGGAAGUGGCGCGGGAGUUGCAUGUAUGCGCGCGCGCGUGUGUGUUUUGGGGGAAAUUGUGGUCCUGCACACGGGCGGGAGGAAGUGCAGCAGAAAGGAAAGAGAGGAGACAGCAAAGGGGGAACUUCCCCAAAAGGGGGGAACCCCUUCUUCCCCGUAGGGGGGGAGUUCAUUCCCGAAGGUGAACCCCCUUGGUUCCCCUAAAGGGGACGAACUAAAGGGGUUCCCCUUCAGUUCAUCCCCUUCGUGUUUUCACUAAAGAGGAUGAGAAAGGAAAAAUGGGGGGCCGGGAGAGGAGAGGGAAAAGGGACAUGGGACGGGGCAAACACAGCCAUGAGGACAGGGGCCAGGCUAUCCCACCCCAAACCCCUUCCCCUCACCCCAAAUUUCCCCCCCCCCCACGCACACACAGACAUACACACAGACAUUCCUCCACUGCUCACCAUGUCCUUGGCCUCCUUAUCCGCCCCGGCUCGCAGUAACGCCCGCACCGGGCCCAAGUGCCCGUUCUCACAAGCCCAGUGCAUGGCUGUCCAACCCGACUGGGGGGGGGCCGGAGGAAACACCAGUGUCACGGCAGUGUGUCGGGGCGAGCAGGAAGGGGUUAGGGUCGAGCCAGCGCAAGGGUAAGAUUUACACACGCACUAUGCGGGAAAAAGGUCCAAUUUCCCGAAGCACGAACGUGUAUGUAUGUAUUUAUGUAUGAUGUAUUUAUGUGUGUAUUUAUGUGUGUAUGUAUGUGUAUGCGGGGAAGGGGAGGGGACGGGGGUUCAAGGUAGGAUUGCGCGGCGGGGUGGGAUACACCCGCAAGGGUAAGGGCCGCCUGAUAGCACCAGCCGGCUGCAAAUGCUUCUUGAAUUGCAUUGCAUUGAAUUCAAAUGCUUCUAAACCGCCAACUUGUUAAAGAGGCUCAACCCCGGGUGCAGAAAACUACACGGAAAGCCACCUGAACCCCCCCCCUAAACCUCAUUCAUGUAGCUCACCCACCCACCCCCGCGGUGGCCGCGUCCUUGUCCGCCCCCGCCUGCAGAAGAGCUUCCGCAGCCUCCGUGAAGUUGGCGGAGCAGGCGGCGAUGAGGGGUGUGGCACCGGACUGGGAGCGGGAGCGGGAGCGGGGGGGUUCCCGGGGGGGGGUUAGGGGGUUAGGGGGGUAGAGAGAGAGGGUGGAGGAAGAGGGCCAUGGUUCGGGAGUCAGCAGGCGAUGGUGAUGAUGAUGGCGAUGAUGAUGAUGAUGUGGCGAGAGUGCUCGUGCAGACUGAUAUUUGGACAGGUAGACAAGUAGACCGACCGACAGACAGACAAACAGGCCAACAGCUUGCCCACCUGGUUCCUGGCGUUCUUAUCCGCCCCCUGCCCGAGCAGCAGCUCCACCACCUGGGUACGCCCCUCACCACUGGCAAGUAGCAGGGCGGUGGCGGACUCCUGGACGGGUCGUGACGGGUGAAAAACACACGGUGCAACGGAUCUCAUCAACUGCCAACGGCCAUCAUACCAACUGACCGCCGUUGUUUCAGUGCGGACUGGAGUGGAGUGAGGUGAGGUCGCCCGGUGGGCGGUUGGGGAAAGAGUCUCAUCACCACCACCACCACCACCAUCACCACACCGACAACAGAAUGUGUGUGCAAGCCGGGGAGAGGGAAACUUCAGGCGGGGGGAGAAAGACAAACCACAGGUGAGCGAGUGAAGCUGAUUCCAAGGAUAUGGGGGGUAGGUGACGGUCCAUGAUGACCCGGACCCCGGAGAGGAAAAAAAGAAGUUUGAUUUCAAUCAAACCUCACAGACCGCGGAGAGGCCGGGGGGCCGCGGGAACGGCAAAGAAGGUGGUUGCUUGGCGGGAAAGACGAACCACGAAAACGAUUGAAGCUGCUGCCAGGGAAAGAAUGUACCAGAAGUAAAACUGACCGGCAGGGGGGGAAAGACGAACCACACGCGAUUGAAGCUGCUGCCAGGGCAAGAUAGUAGCAACCGAAAGAACUGACCGAAAGGCGUCCGUGGCGACUGUGACGACUGUAACCUCGGGAGGACGACUGUAACCUCGGGAUGAAGAAUUGACGUAGAUGUUGGAAGUCCUACCUACCUAAGCCGCCAGAAAAAAAGGCUGAAUAGUAUAGCCAAACCGUAAACUAGGUGUACCGGCAGGGGGGAAGGGGAGAGGGUUUGCAGCGCACGAUGGCGGCGGUCGCGUGGGUUGGCACCUUGGCCGGCCAGACGGACCGGGGGACUGAUCACCUGUAACCCGCCCUGCAGCCCCGACCACACACACACCCACAUACACACAUGCACACACACGCACACACAUACCAACCCACCCCGUUUCGUGCCUCGAUGUCCGCCCCCGCCAUGAGCAGCGCCUCCACCACCCCCGUGUGACCGUUACACACGGCCAGGAGCAGCGGGGUGUUGCCAUCCUGCAUGUAUGUAUGUAUGUAUGAAUGUAUGUAUGGCUGUAUGUAUGUAUGGCUGUCUCCAUGGCUGUAUGAUAAUGAUGCAAAAAGCAAAUAUAAAACUGCCGAUAUGUCCUGGAAAGGGAGAGGGAGUUUGCGGAGAAGACGAACCGCGAACAAGCGAAGCUGAUGAUGUGGGGUGGGUUAGGGUGGGGUGCCAAAGCAGGUGACAGCCGUGGUCCCGUUGGGCCACAGGUUUUGGCAAAAGGGGGCACCAGCAGUGUUGGACGACACAUGACAGCGGUGCGGUCCUGCUCCUGCCUCUUGGGAAUGAAUACGCAAACCACACCUCCCCUUUUGCCUUUCAGGACAACAUAUGUGCCCCAGCGGUAAUGCGCUGGUUGCCGCGUUAGUCCAAUACAAAUCGCGUACCUUGUCUUCCGCGCUAUUGGGGCUCAUGGUCCCGGAGGGGGGCAGUAACCGAGUCACAUCGGCUAGGUCGCCGCAUGCACAUGCGCGUAGGAGGGCCUCCUGAUGUGGGUUUUGGGGGGAGAAAGAGGAAAAAGGAGUGGAGGAUGAAGAUGUGCCAGGUGUGCGAAUUUUGGGGAUGGAAGGACAGAUGGCGGGGAAUGCAGGGGGGAUUGGUAACUGGGUGGAUCUGGGGUUUGGGAGGAACGGAGGUGGGAGAGGGAAACAGAAGGGACGAGGGGUGCGCGAUUUGGGUUUUGGAUAUUGGCAGGAAGUCGUCAUGCGUGGGAAAUUUUUGGCCAUCAUAGCGCGAAGCGCAUCCGCUGAGGCCCACACCAAUUACAGGCCGUCGGGAGCCCAGGGGAAAAUACCAUAACAGGAAGGAAACCGGAACUGUGGGUAGAUCGUGAAGGAAAAGGGAAUGUUUGACGCGAUAGAGCUGGUGUGGCAAAGCUGUAAGUUGCUCCAUUAGAUACCUGUGGUGAGUUCCGGUUAGCAUGUAAUUUCUGGUCCUUCAUGCAUAUCGUCGCAACCCCUAAACCCCAGCGCGUUACGCCCUCGGCGCCUAGCAGACCCGGAAAACGUACCGCAAGCGCUGGAUCUGUGGUCAAGUCUAGGAUUGGAGCUGGAGCUGCCGGAGGGCCAUCGGUUGCGGAGGGAUUGGCCCUGCUUCGUGAGCCAUCGCUACCUUUGACUGAGUUAGCAGCUGGGAGCGAUGCACCCGAAGGAAGCGCGCCCUGUAUUUCAUAUUCAAAGCAACAACAUAAUAUCAUUCAAAAAUCUGCGAAGCCAUUUACCAAACAGCGCAAAGGAAUUGUGAUGUUGCAAAAAGCCCAUAGAAAUGCGAAUCUUUGCCAUCGAUGAACUGGCUCGCAGCAAAGAUAGUUGACAAGAAAAUCAAGCAUUUAAUUGGAUUGUGAUACGAUAUUGCGUCGACCCCUUGAACUCCAAGGUCAGGCUGUCGGAAAUGCUGCGACUUUAAGUUACGCACGCACCUCCUUGCUUACUCCGCAGCCCAUCGCCGUGGCACAGCAGGCGCCCCUUUGCGCCCGCUCCUAGAAUUUCUCACUGUCAAGGCCUCGUGGCAGCUUCAGAACAGGCUAGACCCCAAAUUACAGAACCAGUUCUUCCCCAAAAAUGCUUAAUUUAAACCACAAGAAGGAAUCAUGAACAUUCCGUCUUUUGCUUGGAAGGAAGGUGCGUCGAUUUGCAUCUGAAUGGAAGAUGUACUACCGGCACCCUUCUAAGAGGUAGGCAAAGACUGCGUUACCUUGCAGUUUUUGAUGAAUUGAAAACCGCAACGCUAGCCGUGUAUACGUUUCACACCGUCACGUGUAACUCCAUAUCCGGAUGUGUCUUCGUGUCGAUGCUUCAACUGGCGCGAGCUUCGUACUCCAGUCUGACUGCCAUGCUCUGCCCGUAAGGAUCGCAGCGCUGUCCCGUCCUGAGAAAACGGCAUCGAUUGUACCUGCCUAAUUACUGGAAUCCCUGAUUGACUUAGUAUUGUCGGUGCGCCUGCUUGCACGCCAUCGCUUCUCUUCCGCCCCAUCGCGUCCCUACCGUCAUAUCCCCGCGUUAACCGAUCAGAAUGUGCAAGGCGAUUUUACAGGAGUCUGGCAGGCAACGGCUGCCGCCCUCCUAACAUCACAACACCUGUUGCCAUUCACAAAUAUGCGUUCCUAAAAAGCGUAGACCUGGCUCUAUGCAAAUCUCACAAAACGAAGCGAAGUGACAAUAAAUGGCCCCCGCUCGACCCCGGCCCACAAAAACUCUACCAAAAAUUCUACUAGCGACGACCUACAACCUCAGGGCACUGAAGGCAAAAAACAAAGGGCUGCUAUCGGGAUUAGAACAAAUAGAGGUGAUAUCUACAUUGAACGCCAGCUGCAGAGGAUUUCAAGCCUUCAGAUUACUUAAAACCUGCCCUACGCCACCCUCGUCCCUAUGCUGGUACAGUGGGGUAUUGUCCGUGUAGGUGAGCGAGUGUCACAUGAAUUAUGAAUGUUCGCGUGCUGCCCACACUUCUGGCGCUGGGCAACGUUCCUUGUCUGUAGAGGGAUGUGGCGGCGGCGGUGGCCUUGGUGCUGGGUCAGGCUGGAGCACUUCAGCAAAGGUGUGUGAGAACGUGUGUGGAGGGAUCAGAUGGGGGAUGUGCGUGCAAACCGAUUAACAAGCUGGGUCAGGCGCAUAGAAACUUUCCGGUGCGCUUAGCUGGAUGUGAUGUUGCUGUUGCUGUUGCUGCCGCUGCCAGUCAAACAUGAUAUUGCGCACUCCAAUGUUGAUCUCCAAGUCCUUUAAAAAGGAAACUAAUUGUCUGUGGACGCGUCAAAACGGCGCAGCGCCUGCCCAACUCAACCACCCACUAUCAACCCUGACUGCACACUUACCUGCAGAACUGCAGGGGAACCCCAGCCCCAGACCCAAAAUAAAAGGUAAAGGCGCUCCUGGCAUCCUGUGGACCACACGGCACACCCAGACAUAGUGCCGAGCGAGGCUAAUCCUGGGAAAGAGGACAUUACAGGGGGGGAGACGUAACAUGCAACAUGCCUAGGCUACGCAAGGCUAAAUAAAAUGAAUAUUUCUCCUUAUUGGUAUUGAGGAAGGAACUUGCAGAUGGUUGGCCAUCCAAGCUGUUCCGCUUUUUGGGGAGCUUACAUUUUGAUAUGUGGGAUGGAUUACCUGCUGGGGCUACAAGUGAUAAUAGGCGUGAGUGGGCGCACCGGAAAAACCGUCCAGGGGGUUGCCAAUCCUUUCUGAGCUCCAUCACCAGUUCAUGUUUUCAUGGAAGGCUGUCUGCAGUGCCACAAGAUUUCCCCACGGAUGGAUAGCUACCAGGCAUUAAGGCGGCUAAAUUAAAGCACUGGAUGGGGUUGCCAUUUGCGCAGCUGGGAAGCAGCUGGGAAGCAGCUGGGGCAAGCUGGUUGCCCCAUGCCAGGACAAUAUAGCACGCAAGAGCUCCUCAAGGAAAGCUGACUAGGUACGCCAUGCAACGAGGAAUCUCCGGAUAUGCAGCGUCAUAGAUUCAUCAACCACAUGGGAGUAAUUAUUCGCGCUAUAGAUGCGUGGGAAGCCUGUGGAAGGGUGCACCCGUUGCGGUGUUUAAUUACAUGGAUACCAUUGGAAGCUGCGGGCGUGUAGACAUGCAUGUCUCCAAACCAGACGUCUCCCGCAUGUGCAUGAUCCGCAAAAGUCAUGGGCAAGCGAUUACCAGAGCUCCCCACUUGAAGGCUUUGGUGACAAGGUCACAGGCUGCCCCAAACGACUAUGUGUGCGCUUCCAUCCCAGCGCUUGAUGUGCACAUCCAUCCCAGGGUCAAAGGAUGGAAGCAGCUCAAAUUCCACGGAUCCCUGUUGCGUAUGAAAGGGAGCCAAGCCGCUCCUAACAAUUGGGAAGCGUAAGCUGACUGUUCUAUCCGAGAUACUGGCGCAUGCACAGAGAAUCGGGAUUUUCAACCUCAACUUAGACUUACAAUCUUCAAAAUUUGGUCCACUUAAAUAGUCAGGCUACCGCGCCACAAUCUCACUCGUCAUACACACAAGUCCUAGCUCCGCUAGCUUCAAAAUGUUACGACAUGGUCAUGCAUGUAUUCCGAAAGCUCGUCAACCAACUUCAUAACAUACUCCCCUUCUUAAAAACAAGCACCAUCCUCGGUGUGAAGGGGAAGCACUAAGCAAUAUUAAGCGGCCAAGUGGUGUGCCUCUCUGAUCCCCUUAACGACAUCGGCACCAGGCUAACGAGAUGAAGGAAAAAAGGGAACCAGACUUGAGGCAAAACCUUCCCCGCACUGGAUACCGGCCUAAAAUGGCACUGCACGAGGAACAUGACGGACGGACGUGCAUGUCUGUUGUACCCUAGGCGGACAGCUGUGACGACGGUAUCUGCACUGUCAUACGGAGAUUCUAGCACAGUAGGGGCUGCAGGUGAGGAUGGUGGUCGGCCUGGAAAGAGCGCCGGGUCGUUGUCAUUCCAGGGAAGAAGGCGGCUGACGUGAAAGACUGGAUGGAGGCGGCCAAGGGAGGCUGGGAUGUUGAGGUGAUAAACGAUUGGGGAAAUGACGGAAGAGAUGAGGAAGGGACCGAGGUAGCAGGGCCGAAGCUUGGGGGAGGGGUAGGUUGGCAGGGUGUGGUGUUCUGUGGACAGACGGACACAGUCACCAACUUUGAAGGUGAUGGAUGGUGCGGCGAUGCUGGUUAGCGGUGGCAGUGUAGCGGGUUUUGGAGUUCGUGCCCUCCGACCCCAGCCCCUUACUACCCACUGCAACAGCAGAAUCUCUAACCUCAUUACCACACUGUCAUUCCCUCCACUUUGGCCCACCACCUCACCACCUAUCAAUGUUGCAGCCAACCAUGCCCUCCAUCAUGCCUGUUUCACCAUCACAGCCCAUGUCAUCCCAGACCCCAGCCUCACGGACGAUGUCUGCUUUGGAUAUACCGCCAACCCUAUUUACUCCAAUCCAACCACCACCCAACCUUACCUCCAACACUCCUUGGACGGUUUCUUCUGUUUCACCAACUGAAUCGCCAUUCCCAACAUCCAAUCCUUACGCUGUCACCUACUUCACGAAUUCCAUGAUGCUGCUUACUCUGGUCACCCUGAUUUCCAUCGCAUCCUCAUCGUGAUAUCCACCCAUUACUGGUGGCCUUGCAUGGCCCACACCAUCAAAUCCUACGUCAAGUUCUGCCCCAUCUGUCAACACACGUCCCUUAACACUCCUCCGCCUACCACCCCCAAACAGGUGGUCAGACAAAGCAAAAACAUCGCACCAUUGAGCAGAUCCUCUGCGCCUACAUUCAACCUAUGCAAGGCAACUGGGCGUCGUACCUUCCAAUCACCGAAGCAGCAGAUAACAACGCCACCCUCGCAAGUACCGGAAUGACACCAUUCUAUGCCAAUCAUGGCUGCCACCUGCACACUCCCAUCUCUCUCCACGGCCCUCAACCUGCACCACCUACCUCUAACCCACAGGCUACAGAGCUACAGCUGCGCAUGAACGACAUCCACGCCACCAUUAACCGUGAAAUUCAAGCCGCCAAAACCGGCUACACUGCCGCCGCUAACCAGCAUCGCCGCACCAUCACCUUCAAAGUUGGUGACUGCGUCCGUCUGUCCACAGAACACCGCACCCUGCCAACCUACCCCUCCCCCAAGCUUCGGCCCUGCUACCUCGGUCCCUUCCUCAUCUCUUCCGUCAUUUCCCCAAUCGUUUAUCACCUCAACAUCCCAGCCUCCCUUGGCCGCCUCCAUCCAGUCUUUCACGUCAGCCGCCUUCUUCCCUGGAAUGACAACGACCCGGCGCUCUUUCCAGGCCGACCACCACCCUCACCUGCAGCCCCUACUGUGCUAGAAUCUCCGUAUGACAGUGCAGAUACCGUCGUCACAGCUGUCCGCCUAGGGUACAACAGACGCGCACGUCCGUCCGUCAUGUUCCUCAUGCAGUGGUCCACAGGUAGCAGGCUCGACCCCUCGUGGGAACCAUACGAGGACGUGCACAACUUACCAGCGCUUCGUGCCUUCAUGAGGAGCCCAAGCUGGACCGGGUUCAGGCUAUUGGAUACCAACUGAAAGGGAAAACAAUUGGGAAAUGAAAGCUGACUGUACUAUCCGAGAUACUGGCGUAUGCACAGAGAAUUGGGAUUUUCAACCUCAACUUAGACUUACAAUCUUCAAAUUUUGGUCCGCUUAAAUAGUCAGGCUAGCGCGCCGCAACCUCACUCGUCAUACACACAAGUCCUAGCUCCGCUAGCUCCGAAGUUACGACAUGGUCACGUACGUAUUCCAAAAGCUCGUCAACUAACUUCAUAACAUUACACCGUAGGCAUAAAUAUCCGUUGUUGGUUUAUGCAGACCAGGUGAAGAUGUUGGCGGUUCUGCGCAUGCGGCCGAUUCCUGUCACAGGAAUUUCCUUGUCACAAGAAUUUCUUGACAUAGUGUCAAGUCGCCCUUUUUUGCCGUCCAUCUCAAACUUAUGGCGGAAGCGUUUGCAAGUAAACAUCUUUGCUUCCAAAAUUUUGAUAAGCACGCUGCCUAAAUGUGUCUGGCAUGUGCGCAUUUCGGCACUCGCAGCAGGAAACGAAGUGUAUGGUUCAAGGGUAAAUGAUUAACGAGAGAUGACAACUUUACAUCCAGCUGUAUAAACAAGAUAGCCACUAGUAUCGAGAAAUCGGCUCACAGUCAGUCGUUGAGGGUCGUUGAUGCUGUGCGUGGAUUGCGUGGACUGCCAUACAGCACAUCGAAACAUUGAACACUGGCGUAACUAUUUCAAUUGACAACAUGCCACUUUUCCUCCUUCUUGUGGCGCCUAGGUGCGCUGAGCUUUGUGAAGAUCAAUUGCACUUGCAGGUGCCUGGUACAACGCUACACCUAGGAGUUCACUUCAUCUGGUGGUGCGUGUAACAUCUCACCAAACAUUAUUGCGCGAAUAAGGCUGGAGCACCAUGAUCCAAGGCCAUAUACCCGCGGGGCCACCUACGCGUAGGGGCCACCCUCAGCCACUGUUCCGUGACUGUUCUGUCUCACGAGGGCACUAACACAAGAUGAGGCCGGCUUUUAUAGACUGAUGUUAUACUCCGGCAAGUGGUCAUGAUGGCCAUCUCACAUAGCCAGUUGCCUGCCCGUCAUUGCCGGUACCGUACUCGUCGGGUUUGGAUGCUGCGUUUUGCAACUGGAGCAGCCAUCCGCUGGGUAGGAUUGCAUUUACGGUUAUCUUUAUAAUCAGUGCGCAGGUGACGUCCUGUAAUCGGGUUGCUGUAGCUCGGGAAGCCCGCGCACAAGUUCCCCGUGCAAGUGUGGCCUGGCACUCAUAGUCCGAUGAAAUAGUAAAGCUCCUGAAGUGGUUGGAUCAAGUAAACUGAAGUACGGUUGAUGUGGGAUGUUGAGCGGUGUAUCAUAACUGCACUUGCAAGCCCAGCUCAAAGCUGUUGAACAGUCCGAGCCGUACGGACCACCCGGCCUACUGCGUCAGGCAACAUGGCUCCUCCGACGUAACUUGCUUACAGUGAGUACAUUUCAUAUAUUUGCGUGUUGUACUGGGAGAACGAUGUAACUAAAGACUUCGUUUCCGCAAGCGCAAAUACACCGGUGGUUGACUAUGGCCCGCGUUAUCCUGUAUCGCUUUAUCUAGAAAUGCUUCAAAUUCAUGACCAUAACCUUACUAUAGGCGGGUCUUGAGCUUUGCGUGAAGGAGACAUGGGCCUGUGAUAUUGCUUACACCUGGCCUGAUUAUUUCUAUAUCGGAAAGCUGUAUUACACAAGCUAUCCUGGAUAAAUGUCGAAGCCCUCCACUCCUGUGCGCCGGUCCAAGGUUGGACCUGGACGACCUGGGAGUGCAGGUAAGAUGUCCCUAACGUUUAAGCUCCAAGAAUGGCUCAUGAUCAGGUUUCGGGGAAACCGAUCCUAACCGAUUAGAUGGUCGCGUUUUGACUGCAGGCGGUGAAAUCCCGCUAACGGCGUCCAUGGAGGUCCUUACACCGGAUCCAUGGUAUUGAGUUCCUUUCAUUAUGUUACUCCCAUGCUUGAUUUGUUUCUCUCCAACCUGACGCUAUGCUUGUCUUGCUUACAGCAUUCCGCCCCACUUGGCUGCGUCAGAGCUCGCUCGUUCUCAAGGUAGGUAUGGGAAAACUUAUGCGGGGGGCCCCUCCAGAAUCAGGGGGGUUGGGGGAACUGGAGUAUGUAUGUGGGGUAAUGGGGUAAGGAUCUGAAUCUAUCAGAGGGGCUUAGUUGCUGUCACUGUCGUCCUGAGUCGGCAAUCUGGUUAUGAACUCUUUUUCUAAAUCCAAAAAUUUCAUUAUGUUACCUUUGACAACAAUCUGGAAUUAAACACACAUGGGGUUUUCAUUCCAAAUCCCAUCCCAUCUGCACCAGAGCUGCACGUUGCGUCGACAGCUUCCAAACCUCGGACGGGCUCGGCGUCCCUGGUCAGGUACGGCACCAACCAUAGAUUAGACGUGUGCGUGCGUGUGUAUGUGUGUGUGUGUGCGUGCGUGCUUGCGCACGUGUUUACAGUAUAAAAAAAUGAGGCAGCCCUAAGAAUCACCGCGUCAGGCUGUUGCAUGUAUCCGUGUCCGACAAGCAUGUCUGCUUGUCUGUGAAUGUGUGCGGUUCAGUCCAGGGUGGUUCAUAGCAGCAGGUCCUCUCCACAGGCAGUGCCCGAAGUUGGUGCAAUUGGUCAGUCGUUUAGAUUUCUGUCAUGCCCUAGCGGAACUGGGGUCCUUUAGAUCUCUUUCCUCCCACAGGAGCGCGGCUGCUGCUUCUCCUGUCACUCCCUUGCUCCCCGCCGUUAUCGCAUGCCCCAGUGCCCUGCCUUUGUUCAGAGCGGCCCCCCCCCCCACCCUUUAGUUGUUUUAUUUUUGAAUUUGCAUGUAUUUCCCCACCCCCCACCCUCCCCCCGUCGGACAGCUCAUUCCUUGUUUCCUUGCAUAUGAUUUCCCCCUCCGCCUUCUCUAAGUAACGCGGACGUCAGCAGCUGUUCCUCUGACUUUUGCACAUAUCGAUAUGUAGUAUCCCGUCCCUCCUCAAGAUCGUGGUUUCGGGGCGGGUCCGAUCCGUCUUACCUGGCAAAGUGGGCGGAAGGCGGAUAGGCCGCAGCACUGGGCGGCCCUUACCCAAUCUCCCAUAGCAGCAUUAAGACGUCGGGUGUCUGUUCCGCUGAGGCGGCAGUCAUCCAAACAGACAGUAUUCCCGCCUUGAAGCUGAGGCAGCUUUGAGUUGUUAUCUGUCCCGCAGCGGCCAUCGCGCGCCAAGCAAAAGUAUCCCACAAUUCAGCGCCGUGAGCCCGCCGGUAACUUCUCACUAUCACCAUGACACUCAGCAAAGCGAUCACGCACCUCCAGCCUGACCAUGUCUCACCGUCCCCUAAGCAAGAAGGACACGCACCAUACCUUCACCACAAGACGCUCUGAUUGACUGACUAACUAACGUGGCCGGGCAAGGCCACGAUUACAAUAGCUACGGUAGAUGAGCCGCCGCCGCCACCACCACCACCACCACCACCAGGGGGGUUAAGCGGGGUCAUGUGCAUGUGAAUGUUGCUGGUGUGUGCUGAUGGCGACCACCCGCAGGACUCGGAGCACAGACGGGCGCCGUGCCUCCGGUCCGCAUGAGGUCAUCUCGCUCAACUCCACAACAUCCAAGUCCCUUGCGGCCAACCAGGUCAUCGCGCACCCGCUUGUGCUGGCCGCAGCGGCCGGGGCCUCUCCGGCGACAUCCAUCCUAGCGGCGUCCGGGGUGGGGCUUCCGCCGCCGCCGUCGUCGCCGUAUACUGGCGGGCCGGUGCAUGGGGGCACGACGCCCGUUGGCGGCGGCGGCAUGCCGCCCGGCACGCGGUCUCGGACACCGCCGGAUAUGGCCGUUUCUACCGCGUCGUCACGGUUUAACCCGGUAGUGGAGGAUGACGAUGAAAUGCCGCCGUUGCACCCGCAGCAACAGCAGCAGCAGGGCAGCGAGUCUAUGCGAGAGUCGCAGGUGCUUCUCGGCGGAGGAGCGGUGGCAGCGGCGGCGGCGACGGCCGCUGGCGGUGGUGGCAACAGCACUCGUCGCUAUGCGACGGCGGAAAGCGUUGCGAUGUCCCACCAGCAGCAUCAGCAGCAGUCGCAACAAUCUAGGCUGCUGACGGGGGAGAGCAACGGCGGCGCCUCCUGCGACGCUGAGGAGAGCGGCGUCAGUGGUAGCGCUAGGGGGAGGCUGGGUCAUCUUCAGCGGGAAGAUUCUGCAGCGCCAGGCACACCCGGUUCUGUAGCCUCGGGUGAGUGUUAGGAGCUAUGAAUAAAGGAACAAAUUUCGUAUGCGUGCGCGGAAAAUUGUGUUUAAAUUAGGGCAUUGCUGGGACGGCAGGAAAGGGCAGAAAGUCACAAGAACUCGGCAGCUCCCUCAUUCGGUGGUUUCUUUCGAAGCCGACGACGACGCCAACGCGAAGUCGUGUUCGUCCUGUGUGUGGAUAUGUUUGUGUGUCUUUUUUUAUCAAUCAGCAACCCUCCAGCGCAACCCACGUCCCUCCCCGGCUCCGCUCCUGUAAAGCUGCGCUUGUGUUACGUCUGCAACACUUGUGGCUCGCGCCUCGGCGUGUUUUCCACUAAAAAAAACACCCUCCGCCUCCCCACCUCCCACCUCGGUGUUGGUCCCCCCCCCACUCAGGUCGGGUCGGGGGCGUCUUCUUCACGGACCUGCACCGCUCGUUUGGCGGUCAGGGUACCCCUGGACGGGCUUCUGGAGGAGUCGGCGACUCGCAGGACUUGAGGGACACCCUAGCAGCUGAGGAAGUCGGGGGAGAUGGCGACGGCGACGACCAUGAGGACGGUCGCGGGAAUUCGCGGGCGAGCCGUCUGGGGCUCAUUUCCGCAGUCACCAGUCGACUGAACCCCAUGCAGAGCCCAACUAUGUCCGAAGACGGUACGUGCGGGACAGUGCGGGGGCCCCCAGGAGGGGCGGAGGGAAGGAGGGAGGGGCGGAGGGAAGGAGGGAGGGGCGGAGGGAGGGAGGGAAUUGUAUGCAAAAACGGUCAGCUGCCAGGAGGAUUAAAUGUCCACUCUGCCAGGAGCGGGUGGGGUCGAUUGGAGUCAUGGAAGGGUGGCGGUGGUGGGAUGUAUAGAGGUGGAAGUGGAGGAGUUUGCGAGCCGGAGGCUGUUGGGAUGAGUCUAGUGGUGGUGGUCUUGGUCUUACUGGGUUGUGGAUUGGGAUGGGGAGGGGUGGAGGAACGGGCGGGCAGGGUGGAGGAGGGCAAAAGGGCACGGAAGGACGGAAGGACUGCAACGGGAAUUCGCCGCGUGGUGCGCUGCCCUGAUGGCAAGGUCGACUGGAUAGGGUGCGUGCCUCCUUUCUGUUAUUUGGCUGUUUUUUGACGAACGUACGCGGUGUUAUAUAUACUUGUGGGUUGUUUUGUCGCAGGCGAAGAAGAUGACGAAGGCGAUGACUUGUUUGCGGAGUACGCGGGCGAGGCGUUGCGCUCUGCUGCGGCGGCGGAGGCCAGCAGCAGCGGUGGCGCUUCCGGCAGUACAGCGGAGGAGGCGGCGACAGCCGGAGGGCGGGCAAGCACAUCCGCCCUGACCGAUUACACCAACCCCGUGCAGGUGCAUAUCCUGUAGGGCGAAGGUUAUCGCUACCUGGCGUAGAUCGUAAUUAUUGUGUUAAGCAUGGUGGUUACGGGAAUCGAUCCCGGGACCUAGAGCUCAAAAAUCCGAGUCUUUCGCUCCCAUCCUCCCUUUGUCAUUUAGUUAAAUAAAAUUUGUCCUCUCAUUUUGCGCGCUCUUCUGGCCAUCCCUGGGGAUACAUACAUCCCGCCGCUCAGACGCCGUACGAUUCGAGGCUUCCAACGCCGCUGCUGCCCUCAGCCGGCGCGGCAGCCGAACUUGAUCUGGCCGCGCCGAUGGCGGCGACGUCAGACCCUGAGUCCCGUAAGUCGCUGUUGCUGGUCAUUCAAGAUCUGUACGUCACGGAUUCGGAGCCGCGACUCUCAAUGGACCCCAGCCGACCUGCCACCGCAGCCGGCGAGCCGCUGGCCCAGACCCCGGCCACCCCAAUGCCGCCUGAGUCGCCUGUAGAGGGGGAUGGUGGGGGUGAGGUGGAGGGGGGCCUAGGUACUGAUGACACGGAUGCUCUUGCCGCGAGCCGCGCAGCUGUGGCCGCGCUGGCGGCCCGGGCUGAGAGUCAGCAGUCCCAACGGCGCAGCGAACUGGGGGAGUACAUGACGGCCUUGCAGGUGAGGGGGUCCACGGCACGGGGGGGGGGUGGCUGACUGGAUGGUGCAUGGCAGGUGGCUGGGUUGGUUCCUUGGGGGUGUUCGAAGGCCUGAAGGGCUGAGGCGUGUCGAUGGAUUGGUUUCGUUCGUCCUUGUCCUGGGUGACGCACCCACGAUUUUUCCCGACCCAAGCUGCCUCCCACGCUUCGUCCAUGCAUUCACCUUUCACUCUUCCCUCCUUUCUACUUCCCUUCCCAGUAUCUUCCCCUUCCCAGUCGCAGGCAGUUUAUCCUUUCUGCAAUAUGCAUGUGACCCUGUCCUCCUCAUGGCUAUGCUUCCUCUGAUGUUUUGCGGGUCAGGAGCUGAAGGACGAGUCCGGGGGUCGCCUUGUGGAGCUGCCCGCCGACUGGGGGGUCAUGCUGGAGCGCCUGUUCAGGCAACGUCGGGCGGAGUUUGAGACGCUGCAGGGCUGGAUGGGGCCUCGAAGGUUUGAAGGUGAGGAGGGUGACGACGAUGACGACGGCGACGACGACGACGAGCAGGGGUAGUACGGCUCUGAAGCGUGGCGUAUGGUGCGGGCGGAGAGGCUGCAGCACGCAGCGCCUCUCAUGGACUGUUGUGGUUGCGAAUCUCACUCCCUCUCACUCUCUCUCACACUCUCUUAUGUGCGCUAUCCCACGGGUUUCCCUGGGGCUCUUCUUUUCAUUGCUGUGUCUGCUGUUCUUCCGGGUAGCGUGACAUGCCGGUGUGGCACCUCCAUCUCGCUCUCAGAGCAAGGGCAUUGUGAGGGUUAUGGUCACCUUCAACGGUUGCUGCACGAAGGGCGAGGCUGCACCACACCUAGUCGAGGCGUGGGAUCCCGAGUUGAACUUACCAAUACGUGGUUUCGGGGCUGCUGGUUCAGCGGUAACUUCUUCCCCAUUGCUCCUUUUUCCUUACCCACCAACCCAAGUCAACCGCGCUCAUCGUCCUCGACCCCCGCCACUGGCACCACCGCCGCCACCACUGCUGCGAUUUUUCGCUGACUUCGCGCCUUCCCCUGCCCCCGCCCAACCAUCGCCCCGCCCCGCCAUCGCCCCGGCAUUGGCACUGUGUCUCCAGACCUCCCGAUUAACCAGCUUCCCUCCAACCACCCGGACCCACGGGUCGAAGAAGGGCUGUCUCGAAUCCGCGAGCUGGAUGCCGUACUGAACGACAAGCUGAUUGCGGCGCUGAUCAGCCACCGGGAGACAUUUCCCGACCAGUGGGCGGAGCAGGAGCGCAAGAGGCUGGAGAAGCACACCAAGGCGGUGGAGGAGGCGCUCAAGUGGGUGGUGGGCGGGCGGUGGAGGUGGUGGUGAUGGUGGUGGUGGUGGGGCCAGGGUGGUGGCGAUAAAGAGGAGAGGCAAAUUGCAAACGGAGGAGGGAACGGGCAAAACGUCGUAAGGAUGAAGUCGUUGUUGUCGACGUCCCGGCCCUUGUGGUGGCGGGGGAGGAUGGUUGGCUUGUGCUGCCUCUAGUGUGGAGGGAGGUGGGUGAAGGGGGCAAAACGAAGGAGUAGGGAAAUCCGGACGGAAACUGGAUCCUGUGGUCACAACGGCGUUGGGUGUUUGUUGGGGCAGUGUGGCUGGGGGCAAGGAAACCAAGCAAGCUACAACAGGCGCGCGUUCCUUCCGCACCCCUUCUCUAUCUUCCACUCUUUCACUCUCUCUUCCCCCGACUCUUUUCCACUCUUUCACUCACUCUUUCACUCUUUUCCACUAAACCAGUGGUUCACCCUGCCCACAAUUACCCACCGCCAUCGCCACGGUCGCCUUUGGACUCCGGCAGCCGGCGCUUUGGGUCGUCGGCAGUUGUCCCUGUUUGAUAUCAUCAUCAUCAUCAUGAUGAUCAUCAUCUUCAUUCCCCCUCCUCCCUUUCUUUUGCUUCUUGCAUGUGAUUCACCCACCACCCCCUCCUCCCGGCCUUCAGGCGCGAGCGUCAGAAGCGGCUCCGUGCCGCCCGCAUCUCCCGCGCCGUCACCUCCCUGGAUGCCGGGCCCUCGGGCCUGGCAGCCAGCCCGUCGUCUGUCCAGGGCUCCUCCAUGUCGCUGGCAGCAGGUGGGCAGGCCCCCUCCAUCUACUCGCGUCUCUUCACGUUAAAGCCGGAGGUGAGGUGAAGGGGAAUAGCAGCUGGAGAGGACGGUUUGGCCUCCUGUUUAUUCCAGGGUUCGACACCCCGUACGGGGCCCGUAAGUUUUUGGCCUUUUUUCGGUAUCCCCGUCAGGGCCCGUAGGACUUUUCGGUGGCUCCCGUAAGGAUUUUGGGGCGCGAAGCGCCCCGUACGGGGCCGCCCCCGGACCGGACCGGCCGAAGGCCGGUUACGGUGGCUCCCGUAAGGAUUUUAAGGAUUUAUAAGAGGCCGUACGGGGCCCUGUAGGGGAGAGGACGGACCAUAUAAAGGAUAAGGCCACACACUUGGCAGACAUAAUUCAUAUUGCAGUAUUUAACUACACUUUUCAUAAUACUUUUGUAGCUUCUGGUCUGUAACAUCCAGCGAUGGCAGACAUUGAGUCGUCAGGAGGUGACCAAGGGCCUCCUAAUCCACCGCCCUCCAAGAAGCGCGAGAAAAUAACGAUUUACAGGCAAAAAAAUGCAAAGCGUCACUUUCCACAGCGUUUCAGCCAAGGACAGUGCCCCCGUAAAGGUUUGCGGGGGUUACGGGGGCCCCCGUAAGCUUUUCGGCCGGUACAGGAGCCUGGUACGGGGGCCCCUCCGUAAGGAAAAUUUGGGAGGUACGGGGGAGCCCGCAAGUUUCAGGAAGGUCAGUGUCGAACCCUGGUUUAUUCCCUCUACGGUCCGGGGCUCAGCAGCUCCGUUAGCUCUGCCAGCCCUGUUGCUGGGGGGAAAGUUGGCAUUUCAAAUUUUCCCAUGUGGGUCCCUUUUUAUUGCCCCUACACACAAUACAAUACAAUACCAAAUGAAUACCAUCCUACAAUUCUAGAGUUUCUCCGUGACCCAGUAUUCCAGAUGGGGAAAGCUCACCCUGUUCCUUCCACCACCGUUUCCGUCGGCAGUUGACGCAGUGCUGCUUGCAUCAUAUCAUGAUUACCGCCACAACAUCCCCCUCCGAAACAAUCCCCUGGCGGGGGGUGCGUGUUGUUGCUGGAUGGAUCUGCAGGAGGAAGCGCUCGUGGAGGCUGUCCUGCGGCGUAACGACGAUGAGGGCGCCGCCAUUAACCCCUUUGACCUCGAGUCCGCUGCUACGUACGGCAGCGUGCCGGAGGGCGCCGACGGCGCGGAGGGCGUUGGAGGCGGCGGCGUUGGCGGCACUUCCUUCGCCGAUCCCGAUGACAUCGAUCUGGACCUGGACAUGUUUCUCCCCUCCACCUCCACCUCGGCAUCUACGUGCGUCACUCCCUCGGCAGCGGCGCCAAUGCCCAGGCCUCUCAGCGCGCGCUUGACGGAAGCCAACGGCGGCGGCGGCGCGAUGCGGCCCCUAUCCGCGAUGUCGUACUCGUCCUCUUCCCGUCCGGGGACGAGCAGCGGCCCCGCCGGUGGCCUGUCACCGCUGGCGGCCGCAGCCCUCCACGGCCACCCCGCCCUGCUCGCCGCUGGCGCAGGGCUGCGCAACAGCGGCAUUGGCGGUGGUGGUGGCGGCGGCGGAGCCACCGGGCUACUACCGGAGCGCGUGUACGAUGAUCCGCGCGCCGCGGCCCGCGCGCUGCGCGCUAUCAACGCCCGUUUGGCCGCGUUCGAAUCUGAGCACCUAUGGGACGAAAGCGGUGCCCUGGCGGACUUCAAAUCCGUCACUGCUACCCAGCCACAGCCACAGCCACAGCAGCAGGGCCGUAAACCGCCGCAGCUGGGGUCGGAGGCCAGCCUGGGUCCGAGCCCCAGUGUGGUGGGCCCGGUCCCGGCCAGUGCCGCCGCCGCUGGUGCACCGCCGCCUGCCGCCGCCGCCGCCGCCGCCGGUAGACGGACUCACUCCCCGCCUCGCAGCGUGCGGUCCGCGGCAGGCGGUCAGGCGGCCAGUGUGAGCGGCGUGUCGGUGACUGCCGGGGGCCACAGGGACUACCUGCGUGAGGAGCGGCUGGCCAAGGAGCUUGCGAUGCGGUGCGUGGGGGUGAGGAUUGGGGUUGGGGUUGUGCUGAAGGUUGUGCUGGAAGGUUGUGCUGGAAGGGGAUGGUACAUGGUACAAAGCGCAAAGCUGGGCGAGGGGGUGGGGUUGGGGGCAAGAAGAUGUUGAGGGGCAAGGUGGGGAAGGGGUGAUGAAGAAGACAAUCAGGUUCCAGAGCAGCAGCUGGCGGGUUGGGGUACCGUUGGCUGUAGGGGAACAGGCAGGGGAUGUGGCGGGGAGUCUGAGGGUGUAGGGGUCGGGGUACGGCCGGUACGGCGGACUGCAGCGGCAUUUAUGAUGUGGGCGUGGGUGGCACCUGUGUGGGUGUCGUCAUUUCGGAAUAUGGUUUUUCUCACAGUCUUUCUGGCACAGUUCCUGUCAGAUCCAGGAUUCGCCCGGUUAAAGUCCCAUUCUUCUCUAACACACCUCAAUCAGACCUCUGCCGAGUCCGCUUUCAAACCCUCCGUGUCCGCACCUCCCGUCCUGCCAUACUCUCUCUUGCUUCAUGGCGAUACGCGCAGGGAGCGUGAUGUUGAUACGGCACUACGCAGCCUCAAGACGGGGGAGGUGGUGCGGCUGGGGGAGGUCACCCUCAAGGCGCUGGUGGAGCAGUGCAGGAGGCUGCAGGUGCGGUACGGUGCGCGGUGCGGUGCGGUGCGGUGGGGACGUCUGUGCAGCGCAGUCCAGGACGCGCUAGUACAUGCAUGCAGAUGUGUAGUAGUAGCUGGCCACCGCUGAAAAGGCCUCUCGAGAUGCUGGUGGUGGUCGCGCUACGCGCGUAUUUGUAUAGCGCCGCACUGUGUACCAGCUACUACAAGAUGACAGCCUUGGUUAGUUGGUUGUGCGAACGAAAGCGCAGAGCACGAUACCCUACCCACGACACCUUAACUAAGUGCCUCUGUACUGAACCGUCUGGAAGCUUGGGGCAUAUAUAUAUAUAUAUAUAUAUUUAUAUUGGACAGCGAGCAAACAAAAUUGGUGGCCCACCUGGUGCAUAUGUAACAUGUGGCUUUUACGCGCUCGCCUCUACUACACAGGCGGUCAUAGUUGACUAUUGUCCUUAGCAACUUUCUUUUGCCAUCGAAACCCCUGGAGGCCUUUAGGUCUCCUUAAUGGUAUGACACCUUCCCGCAUGUGCCCACUUCGCACAUACCACCUGCAUAUUCCACAUUCACUGAUCUCCUUGCUGCCGGUCCCCCGCCCUCCCGUGUCCCGCCCUCCCGUGUCCCGCCCUCCCGUGUCCCGCGCCUUCUUUGCGCGAACUACGUUGCUCUCCCUUCCCUCGCCUCCCUUUCUUCAAUCUUCCCGCUUGCCCGCCGGCCCCUGCCAUGGCGAUGGCGAUGGUCAUGACGCGGGUGAUGUACUCCCAGGAGCUCAAUGAGCACCGGCGCAAGAUUGAGGAGGCGGAGGCGGCCGCACGCAAGGCCCAGCUGCAGCGGCAGCAGCUCCUGGCCAGCAGGGCCUCGGAAACGGGCUCUGCAAGAGGGGUGAGUACUGAGUACUGAGUACUGAGUAGAGCUCCCUCCUUGUUUUGAAUCGCGAUCCUGAUGAAGCAAGCAAUGGCACCCACCUCCUGUCCUGCCAAGCUGGCCUGCAUUUGUGCCCUUGGUGCUAGGCAGGGCCAGUAUAAAUCCUAUAUAUCUUUUGGACAUAACCUCGAACCGAUGUCACAAGAGCUGUUUGUUCCGCUCACGUGCUGUGCUGCUGCUGGUGGUGGUGGUGGUGGUGGUAUCAGGUUCCUGCUGCCGGCAACCCUUAACGACCCUUGAUGAUUCUUGACCGGUCUUUGUCCGCGUGUCGGAUCCGCUCUUUCCUUCGCAGACCCCCAAGGGCUCCAGCGCCCCCAGCACCAGCGGUAACGGCAGCGGUAACGGCAGCAGAGGGCAGACUCCUCCUCCCGCGCAUUCAUCAGCCCCGUCAUCGCGGUCGGGACCAGGGCCUGGAGCAGCGCCAGGAACGUCCGCAGACGCCGCCAGCGGCAGCACCGCAGCGGGGGGCCGUGGCGGGAAGCCGCCGCCUUCGACGUCGGGAGGCGCGGGAUCGUCUGGGUCAGCUGCAGCUGUUGGUGGAGCAGGUGCAGCAGCUGGGGCUGGCGGCAGCGGGGGUACAGCGCCAAGGCAGAACAGCGCGGGUAGGGCUUAGGAGCUGUGGGUUGGGGUGUGGUCUUAGGGGAUGAGUGUGUAGGGGGCUUACCCGGUACCUCCUGGUAGGUGGCUGAAUGGAAAGGGAUGUAGGAAAAAGGAAAAGAGAGUGUGGGCCUUUGGGGGGGAGAGGAGCGGAGGAGCGGACAGACAGCUACAGACUUAGGAUGGGAUGGGACGGGACGGGACGUGGAUUUACCUUCCUAUUUGCUUCCUCAACAUUCCCUUGAAUUUUCCCUUGAAGAAGAGGAGGAGGAAGCGGGGGGAGGAGAGGGCAUUUCGGGUUUGUUUCCUCUAUAUAUUACUCCAUGUUUUUUUGUUAUUGUCACUGGUAAAGGCUACACACUCAUCCAGCUAUCGCCGCCUCUCCCUCGAGCAUGUGUCCGUCUGUCCUUCUCUCUCCAUUUUUUCUUGUAGGCAAGGCACGCAGCAGCACCUCUGCUGGCAGCACGGGGGCGGCGCCAUCAGGGGCUCCGUCAACAACCGGUCGACGAACCAGCGACCCUGCUGUCACCGUUACCACCACGACUGCUCCCGCCAGCUCUGGAGCCGCUACCUCCCCGGCGUCCGGUAACGGAAUCGUGGGCAGCGGCAAGGGCAGCAAACAGACGGCAGCAGUAGCAGCAGCAGCAUCUGCAUCCGCACACGCACCUGCCGCGACUGGGGCCCCAGCACCCAAGCCAAGGUCCGCCAGUAAGACUGCUGGAUCACCUUCCCCCAUUGAUGGUGGCGGUGGGCUCCCGCCACCACCGCCACCGCCACCGCCAUAAGGACAGCAGUGUUGCGUGAAGUGUAAAAAGAAACUGCGCUGCGCGGUGUGGUGUGGUGGACGGAAGGCGGAAAGAUGAUGUAUGUGCCCUCUUUCCUUGUCUCAAGCCGUGCACCUUGCACCUUGCAUCCUCGUGGUCGCGUUGUUGGACGGCAGUAGCAGCAGGGCUAUUAAGGUGGUUCUGGGGCUGCUACAUGCUACAGAUGCUGCCGGGGGUAUAGCCUAAUGUGGCUAUGUGGACCUGGGGCCUUAGGGUUAGCUUUGCCGUGUACAGACUGCGAAUGGAUAGGAUGCUGGUUGUUAGGUGGUCACUACCCUACCAUACACAGUAUGUAUUGCCAGGUAGGGGCAAGGCGAAAUCCCCGCACUUCUUCCCCGCGAAUUCUUCCUCUCGACGGAUGAGCUUCCAUCCAGAAGGCUAGCGACAUGGCGCGGGUCGUCGGCGGGUCUGCUGGUGCUUCACACAUCUCCUAGUUAGGCGCCAGACGCGGGUGAUGGUGCAGGCAGCGGUGUAGGGAGAACAGGUAGGGAGAGCGGGACCAGGCGGCCAGGGGCCAGCGGCGUCUCGUUCCGGGGCAUACAUCUCCUGGGCGACAUGCAUCUCCUGGGGGAGGGGGGGCUGGGGAGAGCUCCCGUUUGGGUGGAAGGCUGAAAUAGCCGUUUGGGGGGACUGUCGACCGAUUCCGAUCUAUACAGCAAUCCUGGGUUAUGUAUGAGUAGGUGUUAUGUAUACGUAGCAGAUGCAGGGGUAAGGUUGUGUUUUGUCCUAGGGAGUGGUGAGUAGUUGGUUCAGCGACUGAGUGCGUGUGUGUGCGCGUGUUUUGAUGCACUGGGCCAACUGUGUAUGUGCUUUGGUAGGUAUGUGUGUGUGUGUGUGUGAAUGUGUGUGCACACGGUGUGGGGGGCCUUUUCCUUGGGGGAAAGGGAAGAGUAAUGGCGGGUGGAGGAAAGAGUUAGGUUCAGCGGGCCUUUGGAGAUUUAGUGGGUGGUGGUAAUAUCAGACAGCUGGGUGAGCUGGGCUCUGUGUGGGGAGCUCUAUACCGAUUGCAGCAGGAAAAUGAUCCUUUGUGAGCAGCACUUCAUCAUAUGGCAUCUGCAGGCUUUGUUAGUGUCUUCCCAUCCGCUUGCAGGUCUGGCACAGUCGGCUCCUGGGUGUGUGGAUUUCCGGAUGGGGGUCUCCGGCCCGGGGGGGGGAUUGAGACAAUGUGUUACAUGUCGUACUGCGUGUACCGUACUGGCCAGCAGCAGCAGCAGCAGCCGGUGUACCCCCCCCACACACACACACACAACUCGUCUCGCAACCCAGGCUGGCCACAUCGUCGCCAAGAUUACUCGAGUCAUCACUGGUCAGUAAAUAUUGCAGGUGCAGCAUUUAUCUUCUCCUGGACUAUCCGUUUAUCUCUGGUACCUGCUUCAUUCGGCAGUGGUUCGUCUUUCCCUCAAUGGUUAUCCGUCACAUGCGACCAGAUUUCAGGAAACUUGAACUCUCAAACAAAAUCCCCUGCGCGAGUUCUGAAUAAAAAAAACUGCUCCAAAAGAUUAUCUAACUUCGCCUGCUGGUCUCAUGAUGCAACAUUAUUUCUCGCAUUUCUAUAUUUCUGUAAAAGCACCCCAAGGCACGCCUGAAAAGCUCAUAAACCCGAUAUUCCUUAUCAGUAUCACAACUAUAAUACUCGUCCGCCACCAACGCGGCCCUCACGGUAAGUUCCGCAAGUACGUUCGAGGCAAAAGGGGUCCUCCGGCCGGUGAACGUGCAAAACGGGAUAGGCUGAGGUUCCCUCGACCCCAACGAAAACGCAUCGGUGCCGUGUGAUGAUUCCGGGGUAUACACCUAUAUAUAAUAUAUCCCUAAAAUAUGCUCCAGCUGUUCCCUUAAGGGUACGGUUGGAUCACAUGAUGCUAUGCCCAGUCAUCCUAAAUUAUUAUGUAGCCCAUGUCGUUUGCAAGGUUUCCUAAAUCCCACGCUCUCCGCCGACAAAAAAAACAUACAAACAGCUACAACGGACAUCUCGCCCUCUGCACCUCCACCCUUCCCAACGCCUCUCUGGCCAUCCAAUUCACCACGAGCGCACCACCACCUUCUUCACCUGCGACCGUCAUGACGGACACGACGCCAUCCUUGGGAAACCCUGGAACUUACUACCAACAACCCCCAAGUCGACUGGCGCACCAGCACCGUCACUAUCGGCAACACCGUCAUUCCGCAUUCCCCUUACCGCCCAUCUGCCCUACAAAUCGAGUUUGUCUCCAUCGCCAGUAUGCAGAAGUGCAUCCGCCAAGCUGCUCCUGCUGUGCGCCGCCGCCAAGAGGAGUGCGACGGUGUGCCAUACACCCCGUAGUGUGUGUGGGAGUCCUGCAAGCUAAAUCGUCAUGAAGCCAAUUUUACACCAUCCACGAGCUCGAGCUGCUUGCUGUCGUACACGCAGUGCGUAAGUUUCGGUGCUAUAUUGAAGGCUGCCAUUUCACGUUGUGCACCGACCACGACACCCUGAACACCCUGUGCAGCGCUUCUUCACACAGAAAGACCUCUCACAGCGCCAAGCCUGUUGGGCCAAGCUCCUAACCCCAUUCCAAGGCUACAUGAAAAGCUGUAGACGUAGCUUGAAUUUUUCAAGUAAUGGGCGGCGGACGGUAAAAUCAGGGAAAACGACACCGAGUGCACAAACCAAAUGCGAGCAGCCCAUUCAAAAACGGAUGUUAGAUUUUGGCAAAGAUAGACUCUCGCCGUAUGGCUGGCUAUUCCCACGACCGCCGUAAGCACCAUCACCUCUCACCCAAGCCUCCCUCUCCACCCCCCUCCACUCCCAACCCCGCACCCCCCCUCGCCGGUGACAUCAAGCAAACCAGCUCCAGGUUAGGGAAGACCUCCCGGCCAUGAAACACCUGGGCAAUACCCCAGAUCCACUCCCCCACAUGCAGCCCACCCACACAACACACCGCCCCACACACAUUCCCAGAGCGACGUCCUCCCUCUGGACCACGCACAUGACAGGACUAGGCGCACUAGCCACCGGGGCCGAUGUCAUGACCGCGGGUCGUCAUUACUAUCGGCCACUAGUGCAACUUUCGCAAUGGGUUGGUGUUGGGAGAGGGGGGGUUUCGCAGCCGGUUGUGUGUUUUGCUACCCUGCCAAGCUAGCAGCUGGUGACUUAGCUAAUGUAUUGCAACAUGGCAGGACUGAGCAACAACCAUCGUACACCACACAGUGCCGUACCCUAUACCGCUGUCGUGACACAUGAUCAUCAUGAUGGUCUUGGGUGAACUCUGACAGUUACAAGGUGCGUGCCGAAGCUGCGGUUUAGCACUCAUGCAUCUUAGGGUUUUGUGAGGAGGUGGUCAAGGCCAUAAAGCGGCUCAAGAACAAUAAGGCAUGCGGCCCUGGCAAAAUUCGGGCGGAAUGUUUGAAAUGUGCGAUGCGACUCGCUUGGUGCAGGAGAUAAGGCCCGCUUGGCCACCAGUCAAACAACAAGUACAAAUGUGCAUUGCGGCUGUUUCGCAGCUGUAUCGCAGACAUUUUCACACAUCUAAGCAAAUAUCCAUAUGCCACAUUUUCAUACAUCUAAGCAUUUGCAUAGUUAAACAUGCCCGAGUCAGCUCGAGCUGAUGAGCGCCCAACCAAGGUCCCCCGCAUCUCCCUCGAGAUUCGCGGCUUCGGCAAGCUCGAACCGCCUGUUUGCCUUCGAUGUCAGCGAACUUGACGUUUUGCAGAAAGAGUUUUCAGUUAUGAAGUCUAAGAUGGCAUUGCAGUUGGAGCUGGGCCGCACCUCCUGGGAGCGGGCCUGAGCUGGAAUGCAUCAGUGGGUCCACUUCUUUCCACGCUUGAUUCAGUUGGUGUAUGUCGCUUGUGUCCUUCCCACUCAAACGGCGUGUGUUGAGUGUGGCUUUAGUGUCCACCGCAUUACCAAGAACAGGCUGCGUAACCGGCUGGCUGUCCCGUCCAUUGAUUCCUUUCGCAGAAUCCCUCUCCAACCCCGAAGGGGCCGGAUGGGGGACACUACUCCUCCGUUUUCUGUGUUUUUUGGGGCACGACGUAUGGAAAGAGGCCCCGCAAGGGCUACAUGAGGUAGACGAACGAGUGGAGUGGCUGAUGAACAGGCCAAUGCCAGAAGGUGUGAUUUUGGAGUUCAAGGACCGAUUAGUGAGUGGUUGGAAGCAUACGCGUUUAGAUGUCCAGCCUGACGUGUAUCCGUCCGACGGCAAGCAACCAGGAAUCCACAUGGCGAAGUAUAAGCAUUGGGUUUUGGGUUUUAGGGUUUUAAAACCCACGCUUCGAACAUAUGAAGGACGCUAUGAGUGGGAACCUGAAUGCCUGGCAAGGAUGCUGGAACGCAUAUGGUCCCACCGCAACUCUAUCGUUCCCUUUGGUCGUUAGUAUCCUUCAUUACUUGUUUCGUUGGAAGUGCGAGGUAGGAUGGUGCUUAUAGGCGAUUUGGCAGCCCUUGAGCCCUCGGCUCGUACUAGGGUGGUUUGCAGGUACGGGGAACGCACCCACGACCAUGUAACAACAACAACAACAAUGAUUCCUUUCUGCGUGUUGGAUUACUCGGUCCAACCGUGGAUAUGAAAUCCAAGCCCCUUGUGAUUUGAAGCUGCUUAGGAGUAUGUAUGUUGUUACAGGGUGGUUAACUUCGCCAGCGGCCCCCUUUCCCGGGGCAGUCCCUGCUCUCCCCUGCUAGAGGGGCACCCUAAUCCGUCACCCCAUCCGACUUCAGAAUGUAUUCGUUGGGUUCGGCAACUCACCACCAGCAUCCAACCAAAUCUAGCGGAUCAACGGCGCAUCAACUUAGUUCCUGGUCAGCUCGCAAGUUGAUAUUAUCACGUCCUACACCGUCCAUAUGAUGGGGGGCCACCUCCCAUUUCAUCACUCCUCAAACACCCGAGGAGCUGGCAGGCGGAUUUGAACCUGGGUCGACUGGAUCGACUGGGAGCAGAAGUCAGGCCUUAACUUCUGCCAGCCGCCUGC
rnacentral:lncRNA from 1 species